rnacentral:lncRNA from 1 species
AAAGAAGUAAGGUUUGGAAUUUUUUGGAAAUAGUAGAAGGUACUAAUAGAGUUAGGUGCAAACUUUGUAACGAUACUUUUAAACAUUUAACUGGAGGAAAUUUAGGUGGGACUGGGACGCUUAGUAGACAUAUGAGGACUGACUAUCCCAUAGAAUGGGGCACUGAUGGGGAUGGAAAUCAAACAACUAUUAACCCUACUACUGGAGGUCUUGUAAAAUAUGAUAAAAUGAGGGAUCGUGAGGAAUUAACAAAAAUGAUUGCUUUGGAUUGUCUACCUUUUUCUUUUGCUUCUUCAUCGUAUCUUAUUAUGUAUAUUCAAAGAAUUUAUAAUCCUUUAUUUAAAUGUAUCCCUAGAAGUACGUGUAAAGCAGAUGUCUUUAGACUUCAUGGACAAUAUCAAACAUAAAUAUAUUAUUUGUUUAGCCACCUUCCUUCUAGAGUAUGUCUAACUUCUUAUAUUGGCCAUGCUGUUAAUGGAAAUGAUUAUUUGACAAUUACAUGCCAUUGGAUAGAUGGUAGUCUUGUAUGCAAAAAUGUAUUAUCGCUAAAUAUGAUGAAGAUCAGAGCCAUAUUUCUACAUUUAUAAGUAGUACUAUUGUUGAAGUUGUUGAAUUUUAUAAUCUAAACAAAAAAGUUUUGUGUGUCUUUUGAUAAUGCUUCUAACAAUAAUGCCACAAUAAUAAUUUUAAAAUUGCAUUUGCAACCACCUCUUGAUGAUAUUUUUCAUGUUAGGUGUGCAUGUCNNNNNNNNNNNNNNNNNNNNNNNNNNNNNNNNNNNNNNNNNNNNNNNNNNNNNNNNNNNNNNNNNNNNNNNNNNNNNNNNNNNNNNNNNNNNNNNNNNNNNNNNNNNNNNNNNNNNNNNNNNNNNNNNNNNNNNNNNNNNNNNNNNNNNNNNNNNNNNNNNNNNNNNNNNNNNNNNNNNNNNNNNNNNNNNNNNNNNNNNNNNNNNNNNNNNNUAUUACUAGAUGGAAUUAUACAUAUAUAUUUUUAAAAUGUUGCUACAAAUAUAGAUUCCCAAUAACUGAAGUUGCUAAUGCACAUUGUACUGAUCCUUGGCGUAUGUUAACAAGUGAUACUUGGGAGGUCAUUAAUUAUGUUGCUAAAUUUUUACAUAAAUUUUAUACAACUACUGUUGAGUUUUCUGGAGCAUAUUACUCCACUGUUACUAUGGCUUUAGUACAUAUAGCUGAAAUUUCUUUUCUACUAUCUNNNNNNNNNNNNNNNNNNNNNNNNNNNNNNNNNNNNNNNNNNNNNNNNNNNNNNNNNNNNNNNNNNNNNNNNNNNNNNNNNNNNNNNNNNNNNNNNNNNNNNNNNNNNNNNNNNNNNNNNNNNNNNNNNNNNNNNNNNNNNNNNNNNNNNNNNNNNNNNNNNNNNNNNNNNNNNNNNNNNNNNNNNNNNNNNNNNNNNNNNNNNNNNNNNNNNNNNNNNNNNNNNNNNNNNNNNNNNNNNNNNNNNNNNNNNNNNNNNNNUUUCGCUAUGGCUCGGGACGUGCUGAAUGUGCCAAUUUCUACUGUUGCAUUGGAGAGUGCAUUUAGCCAAGCAAGACAACAACUUGGAGAUACCCGCCGCUCAUUGGGAAGAAAUGCUUUGGAAGUUUUAAUAUGUUUCAGAGAUUGGAUUAGAUCGAAAUGAGGAAAUCAAGGAAAGGAAGAUUUUGAUAGUCCAGAAGACGAGGAACUUGGAGAUAUAUUAACACAUGGAAACCCAUCCGAAUUUACACGUGGAAAAUACUUUUUCAGAAAUCAUUUUCCAUCAGUACCAAACACACCAAAAUUGAAAGAAACUGAUUCACUAAUGGGCGUAAUGAAAUAAAUAUGAGAUCAAAAUGUAAUGGAUGAUUAUGAUGGACAUGCUAGGGCGAUGCAAAACAUUUGAAAUUACUACUUUACUAGUUUACUUGUUAGAAAAAUGUAAACAUUUCAUUUUGUAAUUUUUAAGGUUGAAAUUAAGAAAUAAAGUAGCACUUGCAAUAAGUGUAAUUUUUUUCCAUCUUACUUGUACUCUUUUAAUUAUUACAAGGUAUUAAUAUAACUUACAAUAAUUAUACAAAAUUCCAAAAAAAAAGUAAAAAUACACUAAAUGCGGCCCGGCCCCCUCAACUCGUAAACCUUAUGAUUUAAUUUUUAUCCGAAUUAACCCAGCCCGCUAGAACCCGUUACUAUGCAAACCCGGCCUGGCACGGCCCGGAACCCGGACGGGUAAAAAGAUCGUCCCGGACGGCCCGACCCACCCGUUUAACAACAUUGCCGUAGUACUAAUUCAAAUUCGCGUUACACCUCCUUCUUAAAUUAUUUAUCGUACUUUUAUUUUACUUACCUUUUAAGAAAAUAUUAAUUAUUAGUGCUUUUUGACUAUUUUAUUCUUAUUUUUAUUUUAAGAUAUAAUCUCUUUUCAUUAAAUAUUUGGGGCAAGUACGCAGAUAAUCAUUCUUGGAUAUGCUAUUUAAAUAAUUAGUCAAUAUUUAUUUUGUCCGAAAAUUUCAAACCAAAAAUAUUAAUUUCAGGACAAUCCAAGAUAUUUUGUCCGAAAAACUGAAACGAAAAAUUAAAUUUCAAGACGCACUAACUAAUUUCUAAAUAGCACUUUUAGAAUAGUUAUUUGGUGUUAUUUCUACUAAAUAUUUACUCCAUAAUUGAGGAGUAGUCUUUAAGAACAAUAAUUACUUUUAAGGGUAAAAUAGGGGACGAAUAAAUAAUUUAAGACAACUAUUUUUGAAAGAUACCACAUGUAAUUUGAGACGAAGGAGUAGAUACGAGCAGUUAAAGAUAGAAGUACUUUUCACCGAAAGUUUCUUCAUUUUUAGAUCUCAAGUUUCUCGAAUUCGAGACCACUUAUGAAAGAUGGAAAAGUUUUAUAAAUAGUGAAAGAUGGAAAAGUUUUAUUUAUUCUUCUCACCACAUUCCUCUGUGGCGCAACUGAAAUCAAUUUCAACAUUAGUUAGAGUUGUUUAGCUGUUAGAUUUUCUCGUGUGAUUUUCCUUGCAGGUUGCUAGAUUCUUGAUGAUUAGUCACAUCUUGGAUUGUUUAUUUGGAUUUAUUAAAACUAUACCAUAAAAGAUAUUAUGGCAUGAUUAUUAAGUUGCCUUUUGCUAGCGUCGAGAAUCUUUUAUAGUAAUAAAAUUGUGCCCUUUAUUUGAUACCCUCAUAAUGUAAUUAUCGAAGCCCCUUGAGAUCUACAAUUUUAAGGUUAAAGUUGUACGGUAUUUCUCUAUUAUCCAUAAUGCAUUAAAAGUUGUUGUUUAUGUAAUUGAUGUCCUUCUCAUUAAGGAAUCAUUUGUCUGUCAAAAUAUAGAAUAUGCGUUUAGACAAAUAUUUUUUUGAACAUAAAAAGAAAGUAUUUAAAAUUGAAGUUAAGAAAAUAAGUAUUUGGGACUGAAUAAAAUCAAGAAAGUCUAAGCCUUUGAUAUCCUCAAACUUGAAAUGACGGCCGAUCGAGGAAAACAAAAAAUAUAGAAAGUACACAUAUGAAAUAAUACAACUAGUAUACAGAGUUAUCGCUUUUUUUUCAUUUCCUUUUCAACAUAUAAUUUCCACGUGGAAAAUACUUUUUCAGAAAUCAUUUUCCAUCAGUACCAAACACACCAAAAUUGAAAGAAACUGAUUCACUAAUGGGCGUAAUGAAAUAAAUAUGAGAUCAAAAUGUAAUGUAGGGGUGUUCAUCGGGCGGAUUGGGCGGCUUUUUACUCUUAACGAUUUGGCUUAACGGUUAUCGGCUUUUAAAUGUAUUAGUCUGUUAGCCAUCCGAUAAGAUAUCGGACGGAUUGGUAUCGGGUUAGCUCUUAUAUGGCGGUUAUUGGGCGGCUUAUCGGCCUAACAUAAAUGUUACUAGAAUUUGAUAGAUCUCUUCAAACAAUUAUAGAUCAAACACCUAUUCCAGUAUACCUUCAUAUGAGCUAGCUUGUUAAUGUCUUUNNNNNNNNNNNNNNNNNNNNNNNNNNNNNNNNNNNNNNNNNNNNNNNNNNNNNNNNNNNNNNNNNNNNNNNNNNNNNNNNNNNNNNNNNNNNNNNNNNNNNNNNNNNNNNNNNNNNNNNNGACUGCUUAGUUUUCCAAUUCACCAACGUGUAUGCACUGGACAGGGUCUUAUCUGCCCAAUAAAGUCUUCAGCAAAUUGAACAAUAAAUGUAUUUUGAAAAGAGAUAUGAUAUUAGAGACCGUCGUCAGAAAAAAUAUUUCUACUGAACAAUAAAUGUAUUUUUAUGUGUCUUUUAAAUAAAAUUUUGUCAAGCAAUCGCGCUUAAUUAAUAUGUAUUCUUACAAUGAUUUGUUUCCAAUGCUUCUUAGAGUUGGACCAAUUCGAGUUUGGUACAAACGUUAGAUGUAGGCAACUUUUUUCUAGAUUGUCACAUUUGGAUCGAUUUUUCGGUUUCGGAUCGAUUUUGAACACCCCUAAUGUAAUGGGUUGAAGUGAAGCUUCCAACCAAAGAGAAUUCAGAAGGGCAAGUUACACCUUAGGUCGAUUAGCAAAAGAUAAUUACAUCCACUAGCUAAUUUUCUAAAAUAAUAAUAUUAUAUAACCGUUCUUAAAAUAAUAGCCAAAAAAUAUAUAUUUUUGUGCACAUACAUAUAUAUGUUAUCUACGAAAAUAUACAAAUCUUAAAUAUGUUUGCAGCUAUCAGAUGCAAAUAGUUUCGAUCGCGGACUAAAAAUAAAAUUUGACCUUUGCGUUCUAAUAGCUUUUCUUAAAGUAAAUUUUCAUAAAAUACUAUCUUUUAGUGGUAGUUAGCUAUAUAUGGAUACCAUUUGCUUCUGUUGUUAUAAGAUGUAUUAGAUGUAUUUAAGAAAUUAUAUUCAUGAAUACAAUAGAAAAAAUAUGCGUGAAUCGGGGAAGUCCAGCUAAUUAAUUGUUGUAUUCGAGUAUAUUCGACUGUAUUCAUGGCAUGAAACAUGUGAUUACAGCUGGAUAAAUUAUUGUGUUCGAAUGUAUUCGACUAUAUUUACAGUGUGAAACAGAGGAUUACACUGUUUUUAAACGGAAAGUGAAUUAAUUAACAUAAUAGACUCCUAAUAUAACUCAACAAACUCAAUAUAACACGUAAAAUUUAUAUUUUCAUUUAUAAAAAAGAUUCUCAACCAAAAAAUAUCCCAAAAACAUAGCAAUCUUGAGAGAAAUUAUAUAAUACAUCUGAAUACAUAAAUUAUAUUAAUUGUAAAAAAAAUAUACGAGACAGUGAAUACAAUGGAAUACAGUGGGAUACAUUGAAAUACAAUGAAAAAAACAGUGAAUACAAUGAUAUAUGGAAUACAACGAGAUACAUUGAAUUACAAUAUUUAAUAAAACGAUAAUGAAUACGAUAAAAUACAUGAAAAUAUAACAUGAUACGUUGAAAAUAUAUUGAAAUAUAUUAAUAGAAAAUCUAGUUGCUCAGCCUCAAACUCCAUCGUCUUUUGUUCAAGAAUAAAUUUUAAUUUUCGGCGAAUCCGCCGUCGAGCAAAUAUCUUUGUGUUGUGCACGCAGAUCGAAAAAAAUAGUAUAUUGCUCAAAACAAAUCCCACAAUUCACAUUAUCAUAAUCCAACUACUUAGUUUAUUCUUUCUCCAAUAUUAAUAUACCUAUAGCUUUCAAACAACAACAAAGAAGAACGGAGAAAAAAAAUAAGAAAUAGAGAAGAAGAAGAAGAAAGAGGAAGUGGAAGUAGUGUUUGAAGUUUGCUCAAAUCGGGUAUAGAUUAAAAAUUUUAAUAGAAAGCAAUGUCUAAUGGAAUUGGAGAAAUUAAGAUCAGAGAGAACGUAGGUAAUGUGGAUGAGAAGAAUUUUGAGAUUGAGCAUAAUAUUUUUAGGGAAUGAGGAAGAGAAUGGUAUUUAUCAAAGUAAAGAGAUAGUGUAACUGGAUAGCGUAUUUAGUGGCUUAGGAGUAGAAGUUAACCAAAAUUAGAUAUUUUACUAUAAACAUUAAAAAGUAUCUAUAGAAUAUAAUUUUUUUAAAUAAUAUUUAUUUAAAAUAAAUAAAGUAUUAACCUUUGUUAUAAGAGAUAAAAAUUUCCUUUUUAAAGCGGUUAUACUGCUUAGUUUUCCAAUUCACCAACGUGUAUGCACUGGACAGGGUCUUAUCUGCCCAAUAAAGUCUUCAGCAAAUUGAACAAUAAAUGUAUUUUGAAAAGAGAUAUGAUAUUAGAGACCGUCGUCAGAAAAAAUAUUUCUACUGAACAAUAAAUGUAUUUUUAUGUGUCUUUUAAAUAAAAUUUUGUCAAGCAAUCGCGCUUAAUUAAUAUGUAUUCUUACAAUGAUUUGUUUCCAAUGCUUCUUAGAGUUGGACCAAUUCGAGUUUGGUACAAACGUUAGAUGUAGGCAACUUUUUUCUAGAUUGUCACUCGGUAAGACGACAACAACAACAACAACAACCCAGUAUAUUCCUACCAGGUGGGGUCUGGGAAGGGUAAUAUGUAACGAGCCUUACCCCUACCCGAAAGGGCAAAGAGGCUGUUUCCAAUCGACCCUCGGCGCAUAGGNNNNNNNNNNNNNNNNNNNNNNNNNNNNNNNNNNNNNNNNNNNNNNNNNNNNNNNNNNNNNNNNNNNNNNNNNNNNNNNNNNNNNNNNNNNNNNNNNNNNNNNNNNNNNNNNNNNNNNNNNNNNNNNNNNNNNNNNNNNNNNNNNNNNNNNNNNNNNNNNNNNNNNNNNNNNNNNNNNNNNNNNNNNNNNNNNNNNNNNNNNNNNNNNNNNNNNNNNNNNNNNNNNNNNNNNNNNNNNNNNNNNNNNNNNAAACAAAAACAAGAACAAAGACAAAAUUAAAAACAAAAACAAGACAAAACAAAACAAUAAAGCAUUAGUAAAUCCCGCAGAAAUAACGUAAAUAAUUAUGUAAACAUAGGAAAUAUAAAUACCAUCGCAUGCAAUAAUAACAAACAGAAAUUACCCCACUAACAACCAUAAGGGGGACAUAAGCUAAAACACGAAUCCUCUAUGGGUAACUCUGCUGUCCCACACCCAAUCCCGGAUGAGGCGAACGAAGACAAUUUUGUUAAUUCUUUAUGAGACGCCGAACAUUCUAUAUUUUUGUCUCGAUUCAAACUUCAAAUUCUUAAUCUUUUUAGAAUAAAAUUACAUAAAUAGAAAUAAGAUAAAGUGGACAAAUUCUAAUUUUUUUUAUAAUUAAAUUUUUAAGAGCAGAUGAAAAAUCAUGGUUAAAGAAAUACACCGUUAUUUGACUCUUCAAAUAGCAGUAAGGCCCUAAAGAAGUGGACGUACUCUGGUUGGAGGUAGCUAAUUUGAUAUUAGUAUGUGUGAUGAUCCAAAAGGUCAACACUUAUUUUUAAAAUGAAUUUUGCGUUACGAGGUCUUAAAGACCUCUUCUGGUAUCAUUUCGAUUUUUAUGUGCAGUCCGAACGCGUAGCCGGAAAGUCAUUUUGUGAAAAUCUGUGGAAAAAAUUGAUAACUUUUGACUAUAAAAUGAAUUAAGUUGACUUCAGCCAAUAUUUUGGGUAAACCGACUCGGAACCGUAAUUUGAUGGUCCCGGAGGGUUUGUAAGAAAAUAUGGGAUUUGGGGUGCACGGAAUCGAGUUCCGAGAUCCCAAGCCCGAGAAAUAAAAUUUUUAAAGAAAAUUAUUUUCUAAAAUUAUUUAUGAGAUUUGGAAAUGAAUUGUGAUUAAAACAUGGUAAGAAACGGAUUUGAAACGACAUGAAUCGGAUGUUUUUUAGAAAAUUAGAAAUUUGAAGUUCUUAUGAAAAUUUUAUGAUUUUGAUGCUAGAUUCAUAAUCGUUAUUGUUAUUUUAUUGAUUUGAAUGUACGAGUGAGUCCGUAUAAUAUUUUUAGGUUGGCGUGCAUGUUUGAUUUGGAGCCCCGAGGGCUCGGGUGUGUUUUGGAUAGGCCACGCGAUGAAUCUUGGACUUGAGGAAUUGCAGACUUUCAGUUGUUACCUUGCAGGCCUGCAAGCUUCGCAUUUGCGAAGUCUGGCUCUCAAAUGCGAGAUCGCGAAUACGAGGGGCAUGUCGCAAAUGUGAAAGAAGCCAAUGCCAGCCUACCUCGCAAUUGCAAGGAUUCCAUUGCAAAUGCGAUACGCUCCCUUUUAGCCAGUCUGCGAUGCAUCCUUUGCAUUUCCCACAUCGCAAAGGCAAAAACCUCUUGACAAAUGCGAACAUAGAAGAGGUCGAAGUUCGCAAUUGCGAACCCUGGUCGCAAUUCGCAUAUCUGCAACCUGCAACUUUAUAAUUUAGCUAAAAAUUUCUCAUUUUUCACACUCUUUCAAAAUCAAAACACUCUUGGGCGAUUUUUCAAAGACGAAUCUUCUCCCAAAUCGAUUGUAAGCCAAUUUUAACUUGUUUUCUUCAAUCAUUAACCUCUUUUCACAUGAUUUCAACUCAAAUCAAUGAUUUUCAUGGGAGAAAUUAGGUGUUUUGGGUAGAACCUAGGUUUUUAAAAAUAUUGGAGAUUUGAACCUCGAUUUGAGGUCUGAUUUCAAAACAAAUUAUAUUUUUGGGUUCAUGGGAGAAUGGGUAAUCAAAUUUUGGUUCGAACCUCGGGUUUUGACCAUGUGGGUUCGGGUGAAUUUUUGUCUUUUUGGGUAAAACUUUGAAAAACUUAUUUUUAUGUAUUGGAAUUGAUUCAUUGAGCGUUUAUUAAUGUUAUUAAGUAACUUGUGGCUAAAUACGAGCGAAUUGGUGGUGAAAUCAAGGGGUAAGGAUAUAGUUGUGAUGCGAAUUGUGUUCGUGGCAUCGAGGUAAAUAUUUGGUCUAACCUUAGCUUGGGAGAUUAGGAGCCGAGUCCUAUUUGCUAUGUGGUAUUUGUCCAAUACGACGUAUAGGCAUGAUGAAAAAUAUCUAUACGUUGGUGUCAAAUAUGUUGUGAGUCUUAUAUUGUGAUUAUUAUAACUUCGUUGUAUUUUUCAUGCUUUGGUGAUGAUUUUCAUUGUUGGACAAAGUUUGUAGAAGUAAUCGUGCCAUUUAAAUAUUGAGAAGUGUUGGCUCAAGCCAUAUAAUGAAAUGUGAAAGUGUAAGAGGUAAAUUGAACCCCUUUAGAGCAUUGGCUCAAGUUAUAAAGUGAGUUGUGAAGAAAAAGUGAAAAAGAGAAAAGAAUUACUAUAUUGUCUCCCUUGCCGGGAUAUUAUUGUUUUGAUGUUGUCCCUUGCCGGGACUUGUUUUUGAAUUGUUGUUCCCUUGCUGGGAUUCUUAUUGUAAUUUCAUUUAUUUCCUUGCCCUAUUGUUUGUGAUUGUUGUUUGGGUGAGGAAGAGAGCUAAAGCAAGAAGGGUGAUGCCGUGUAUUAUUUUGGUGAGAGAGUAUUAAAGCACAAAGGGUGAUGUCGUGCUGUGUAUGAUUUGUAAGGAAAGAAUGUAAAGCACGAAGAGUGAUGCCGUGCCACAUGAUGUACUAUUCCGUACCGAUUAUAUUAGUUAUAUGGCGAGGAUGAGAGUAAAAGUACGAAGGGUGAUGUCGUGCACAUUUUCAUUACUUGAUUGUUUUGGUGAGGUCGAGAGUAAAAGCACGAAGGUGAUGCCGUGCACUUAUUGAUUUCUGAUUCUUUGUUGAUAUUUGAGAUACGUUGUUUCUUUCAAUUACCUGUUGUCUUUCUAUUCUAAAUUGAUAUCGUUCCCCCCUCCCCCGCAGCAUAUUACCCCUCCCAUACUUGACUGUUUAUUUCUAUUCUUUUUUUCCGCUAUAUAUAGUUGAAUUGCAUAGGUUUAUCUGGUAGUCUGGUAGUAGCCUCGUCACUAUUUCACCGAGGUUAGGCUAGACAAGUACCAGCACAUAUGGUCGGUUGUGCUGAUAAUACACUCUGCACUAUGUGCAGAUCCCGGAGCAGCUUUUGGACCGUAGAUUGGGUGGUUACCUUCAGUACACGCGGAGAUCCAAGGUAGACCUGCAGGUAUCCGUAGGCCCUGCGUCUCCCUCUAUCCUUUUAUCUCUGUUUCAUUUCCUUAAUUCAGAAACAAGGUAUCAUUUAUUUUCAAACAUUGAAUGUAGUAAAUCUUAGACCGUAUGUGACACCAGUUCUGAGUGAUUAAGGCUUAAACAGUUGUAUUAGUUGCAUGUUCAGAUAUUUUAUUGCUUUACUUUCGCUUAUUUUAAAUUUCCGCUAUUUACACGUUAUUGCUUUAUAACUGUUAAAAUGUAUUAAAAGGGUUAAAAGGUUAUUUGUUCAAUAGUCGGCUUACCUAGAUCACAUUAGUAGGCAUCAUCAUGACUCCCGAUGGAGAGAAAUCCGAGUUGUGACAGUAUGACUUUUUGGGAAUUAAGUUGUAUACACUAAGGGGUCAUUUGGUGUAUAAGAAAAGUACGAAAUAAAGUAUAUAAUAAUGCAGGGAUUAGUAAUGCAAGCAUUAGUUACGCAAAUAUUAUUUUUAUUUACUAUUUGGUGUGGUGAAUUAAAAAUUAUAAUAUAUUGCAUAAUUUUUAAGGAAAAUAGUUAUUUACAAAAAUGCCCUUCAUAUUCUCUAGUUUAAGAAAUUUUAAGGAUAAUUUUGUCUUUAUCGAUACUAAUGCAUGCAUUAAUAGCCUCGUAUUACUAAUAUUAUAAGUUUCUAUGCAUUACUUAUACAUUGGAUAAUACCAAGUACGAUGUAUAACUAAUACAAGUAUUAGUACAUAGUUGAUAAAUAUGUACCAAACAAGGUAUUAGUAAUGCACAGAGCUAAUGCUUGUAUUAUUUUUUCUAAUACCUCCUACUAAAUGACCCCUAAUGGUGAAUAUAUAUUUUUAAAUUAGAAAUAUAUUUAACAAAAAAUAACAAGUUAUUAUUAGUUUUUCAAGUUACUAAUUAACAUUUUAUUCAUAAAUUUAUAUGUAAUUACUUCAUGAGUUUAAGCUAUAUAAGUAUUUUGUACAGUUAGGUUAAUUAACUUACAAUAACAAAAACAAAACAAAAAAAACUCCUAUAAUAACAAAUAGCUAUUCAUGUUAAGUUUGAUAAUUUUGAGAAAUAAUGAUGGUCAACUAGCAUAGGAGAACACGCAAAAAAAAUAAAAAAGAAAAUAAUAUAUGAUAGUUUAAGAAGGUUCAAGAGAAGAAACAGUACAUCCGAUCCAUAACUAAAGUCUCCGUUAAAUCUACCAAGUGUUUCCCGAAACAACUAUGUCAAAGAAAAUAAAUAACCGAGUUCAGAUACUGCUAGCACAACCGACUCAGCUUGCGCUAGGAUUGCGAGACUCUAUGAAUUUGCUCCUCGAUCACGCAUUGAUCACGUACCUCGAAUAAUUUUAAUGAAAUUCGAUUCUAUUCUUUUUCCUUCACUAGAAAUACUUUUUGGUCUCGGAUCCAGAGAUCCUCAACCUCUGAUACCAACAUACCUUUAAGGGGUUUGUUUGAUAUGCAGAUUACAUUAUUCCAUUUGGGAGGUGAGAUAAUAUAAUCUCAAGUUUGAUGGGAUAAGGGGGAUAUUUUAUAUCAAGAUCGAUAUUAUUAUAUUUGGUUAAUGGUAUAAAUUCUUACAUUACUGCACAACCAACUUGAGAAUCAAAAAGGGGUUUGAUCGCAGUUGUACUUAAGGCUCUUGCAGCAGUACUUAACCGUUCAUUGUUCAGUUAAAUAGAAGUUCUGUUAAGUUACGGUUGAGUCUACUAUAGUUUUGAGUAGAAGUUUCUGUAUUUGCACAUUUGACAAGUUAAUUUUCCUAGAUGUCACCAUCCAGUCCAUAGUCAGAUUUGUCUUAAAGACUUGUACAUAAUCCUUAUCCAUUUUACUUUCUGGAUGAUUCAGCUAGGGUUUGGAGGGGGUAUAAAUUGUAACUAUUCUCCUUUUUCUUUUAGUCCUAACCUAGUUAGUUUAGUUAGUCUUCUUCUUGCUUUUACUAUUUAUUCAUCUACUCGACUUCAUUAUAUAACAUUUAGUCUUCUUUCUUGAGCUUCGUGGGUGAAGUUAUGGCAUACAUGGAUGAGAUUAAGUCAAAGUUCGAUAGGAUAAUUAUCAAGAUUGUGAAUUUUUCGGUUCGAUCGGUCCAGCUUGAGAACCAGAAUGAGAAGAAUUUUUGCUGAGCUUAAGGAGUCCAUUGAAGCUGUGAAGAAGUAUGAUAUGGGAAGAGUGUAGAAGUAGUAGAAGGAGCUAGAGUGAUCUACACUCCCUCCGGCAACUUAGCGCCUUGGAUACCUCCCAGUCAAAGAGGGAUGGGUAUACAAUAACAUAGCCCUGCUAGUUAUCACAUGGGGCUAGUCCCUUUGCCUCACUCUCAAGUUCCCAUAUGGGCUUCUGAUCACACCCAACUAUGCCUUAUGAAAAGGAUUAAGCGGUCGUUGCAAAUAUAAUCUAGUUUAGAAGUUCAGAGUCGAAUCACAUAGAGAACUAAGGUUUAGCUACAGUUGUUCAAUAUCGCUAAGAAACACAAGUCCAAACAAUUUCCUAAUUAUAAAGAUUAUAAUAUUUAUUUUAUCUAAUUAACUAACAAAUACUAGAAAACAGUAAAACUAUCAAUUAACAAGGAUAAGGAUUGGAGACAAGAUCAAGAAGGUCUACAGUUAUGAUUUUCCCUAUUGUCGGAAUCCUUUUCGCUACAUAUUCUAUAAAUUUGCCUAAGUCUUCUCUACCGAUCCUGAGCAUUUGGAAUUUCAUAACUCUGCCCCGAGUAAUUACCACAAUUUACUAGACACAUUCUCCAGAAUUAUGCUAGCUGGCGUUAAGUAUGACUCACUCAGAUCACACCAAGGAUUCGUUAUCCUUGAUCCCACCAUUAAACCAUCCGUAUUGAUCUCUCAUAUACGCUAGGAGUGACAUUUUUGAACAACUACCUAAAUAUACACUCUCUCCCGAGUAAUACACACUAAAUAGGCACAGUCGAUUGAGAGCACUUCAACCAACCACAAUAUAAAUGUAGUUGAAUGUAACAAGAAAAUUAUCCUCCAAUAUGUUCCAUCAAAACUACAGAUAACAAAUUAGCUAUUCAUAACAUAAGCAUAACUACAAAACUAAAAUUCAUAACCAAUAAUGGAAAUAGGAAGAAGAAAGUGAAAAACUCGUAGAAGAAUUCUCCGCCUUGCUCCUAAUAUGCUCUUGCCUCCUUAGAUUGAAUCUUUGGUUUCCUUAUCCUCCUUAGGUCUAAAUUAUGUCAAAAAUCCUCAAAGUACCAUUUUUUCAUGUAUAUAUACCAAGUAGGGUCGGUCCCAAACAAUUAUACCUUCCCAUAUGCAAAAAGGGACACUUUUUCAGGAUAGGCCAUGCGCGGUCGCGGAUCAAACGUGGAAUGACCAUGCAUUUUGACUAGUGUUCUGCUUGACAUGCGCGGCCACAUACUUUUCACCCCGUUCUGUUGGAAAUUCGGAAAAACGUAAAACAUGAAAGUUUUAUCUUUUUGAGUUUGAAUUCCAACCAAAUUUUGUGAAGCCCAAAUGGAGUUUUGAGAAAAAUGUUAUGUGUAUUUUAUUAGACAGUGAGUAAUAUGCCUACUCAUACAAGGCAUAAAACACACAACUAGUGCAAAACACUAGCGAUUAAAGCUCAAACUCAAUUAAAGUGUAGUAAAUUAAAGUGUAAUAAGCGAAUAAAAUACGUAAUUAUAGUCUAUUAUUAGUUUCUUCACCUUAAGUUUAUUCCUCUACAGGUCAUUCUCAGGGCCAAACAUCUGCCAGUAACCAGGGAGGUGGAAAUACAGUAAGAAGAAGCCACAACCUGCAGUCACUUCUCCAAGAGGAACAACUAUGAUAAGGAUGACAAAACUGGAGUUUCCUCAUUUCAAUGGGAACCUGGAUAUGCAUAGUAGAACCAUUCUUUUUUCUUGAUGAAGUAUAAUAUUCUUAGAGGUUUAAGAUAGGUUAAAUACACUUUGAUUACUUUGCUAUUGAAAGACAUCUUACUUACUUGAGGAGUAAGGCUCAUCUACCUUAUCCUGCUUGGGAAGAGAAUGUUUAUGCAUUAAUAGAUAGGUUUAGGUAUGAUUAUGCAUAGAAGUAGCAAACGGACGUGUCAGAUCGGAUAUUGUUCGGGUUGAAAAUGAAUAAAUUAUCGAUCCGACCUAUAUUUAAUAUGAAAAAAUGGGUUAACCGACGGAUAAUGACUUCUUGCAUAUGAUUAUUUUUGGGAGAAUCCUUUGUCCCCAUGAGUUGAGGAACCCCAAAUCUGAGGCUUUACAAAUAUAAAUGUUAGACUCAUUGGUUAUCCAUUAUCUAAAUGAAUAAUAAAUUUUAUCUAUAUUUAACCCGUUUUUUAGAAAAGUUCAUUAUCCAACUCAUUUUCUAGUGGAUAAUAUGGGUGGUUAGCUAUUUUAUUUUAACUAUUUUUCCACCCCUAAUUAAGCAUACCCUAUGGUUGAGAUUAAGCUGAUUAAGCAAACAGGGAUGGUGGAAGAUUAUCAAAGAGACUUUGACAGGAUAAUGACUAGAUUAGUUAUUCUUCAUGAAUAUGCAAUUACUGUCUUUAUUACUUGCCUAAAGCCAGAGAUUGGCGUCACAGUCAAGAACCACAAACCUUAUUCUUUACCCCCAAGCAUAUCAGUUGGCGAGAAACACAGAGGCUUAGGUUAUGGUCCCGUUGAAGGUAACUAAGGCUUCUUUAUUUAGUGGGGUGUCCUCUCAUUCAAAGGGAGGCUAUUAUAGUUUAACUCCAAGGGAUACAUCAUUCAAAAGGGAAGGAGGCCAAUAUAAAAGAGAACAUGCCGUUAAUAUGAACAAAAGUUUCACCAAUAAUUACCGCAGCUCAGAUAAGUGAGAAAAGGCAUAAGGGGUUAUGUUUUUUUGUGAUAGAAAGUUUUUUCCUGGUCCAAAGUGUAACACCUCUAAAUAAGUGUACUUGCUAAAGGUUAAUUAAGUUCAUGAGCCAAUAGUUGAACAGGAACCAGUGGAACAAGAAGUAGUAGAAAUAGAACUAGAUGAAGAACAUGAGAAGGCUUGUAAAAUUUCCAUUCAUUCACUGAAUGGGUUCUGGGUUUCCAUACCUUGAGGGUGACAUGAUACUCUGAGAGUAGGCCUUGAGUAUCUUGAUUGAUCCUGGUAGCUCACAUAAUUUUAUUGACCGAGAGCUUGCUACGAAGCUGAAGUGUGCAAUACAGGUCAUUAGGCCUCUGUCAGUUAAUAUAGCUGAUGGUUUCAAUAGGCAUAUUGUAGAGUUGUGCAAAAUAUUUACUUCGUUCAUUGCUGAUUUCUUAUUACUAUCACUGGCUCUUGACUGACCUCCAGCUGAUUUUCUAGAAUUUGACUCUGGGAUUUGUGAAUCAAGGAAGAUUAGUGGUAUUAAAAGGGACAAAGGAGACGACCGUGAUAGCGGAAACUAAAAGACUAGGUAAAUUGGCCAACACAAGUGAUCAGAGUGUUACCAAUAGAUGAAGAAGUGGCGGAGGGAAUCAAGAAAACUCAUCCUCAAAUAUUGACCCUCAUUGAUGAGUACCAUCAGCUAUUCUCUGAUUUAACAGAUUUACCACCUUUUAAAGGAAUUUUUAAUCAUAGAAUUCCUUAUACAACAAGUUAGUAACCUAGUGAAUGCAAGACCUUAUAGUUAUUAUUCAAGACUUAAAUAUAUCAUUGAGCAGUUGGUUAAAGAGAUAUUGAGCCAAGUCAUAGUACAACCUAGUUCAACUCCUUAUGCUUCACAUAGACUACAAGAUGGUUCUUGAAGACUAUGUAUAGACUACAAGGCCCUAAAUAAUAUGACUAUCAAGGGACAAUCACAAAGGAAUUGUUGGAUGAACUAUGUUGAUUCAUAAUUUAUUCAAAGUUGUAUCUAAGGUCACGCUACCAUCAGAUAAAGAUGGCAAAGGAAGAUAUUUAGAAAACUGCAUUUAGAACUCACUCUGGCCAUUUUGAGUACUUAGUAAUUCGAUUUGGUCGUUCUAAUGCCCCUUCAGUUUCCAAGGCCUCAUAAACCAUGUGUUCAAGGAUUACCUUAGGAAGUUUAUACUUGUAUUUUUUUAAUGAUAUUCUAGUAUAUAGCAACAUCCAUGAAGAACACUUGCAGCACCUGAGAAUCACUUUCAACUUGUUAGUUCAGCACAUGUUAUUUAUCAGGAGAUCUAAGUGCUCUUUUGGAGCUUCAAGGGUUGAGUUCUUAGGCUACUUAUUUCAGCAGAAGGAGUAUCUACUGAUCCUAAAAAUAUAGCUGCAGUACAAGACUAUCCAUUACCUAAGACUGUGAGGGAGCUGAGUGGUUUUCUAGGGCUUGCAGGAUACUAUAGGUGGUUUAUUUGGAGAUAUGGAAUUAUUAGAAAACCCCGCAUAGAACUACUAAAGAAGGAAGAGUUCCAUUGGAGUGAUAAAACCACUUUAACAUUUGAUAAGUUGAAGGAAUCACUGACUAGUGCACAUAUUUUAGCUCUUCAAAACAGUUCCCUGUUGUUUGUCGUUGAGAUAGAUACUUGUGAUCAUGAAAUUGGGGUAAUGUUGAUGCAAGAAGGCCAUCCAUUGGCAGAUCUUAGCAAGGGAUAGUUAGUAAGGCAUCAAUGCCUAUCAUUGUAUGAUAAGGAUCUUCUGGCCUUAGUGAUGGCUGUCACCAAAUAAUCCCAAUACCUGCAAGGAAGGCAUUUCAUCGUGAGGACAUAUAAGAAGGCUUUAAAAUUCUUGUUGGAGCAGAAGUUACAAACAGGAACAUAAAUGAAAUGGAUCACCAAGCUUAUGCAGUUUGACUUUGAAAUUGAGUACAAAAAGGGAAGGAAAACAAGACAGUUGACUCUCUUUCCAUGCUCUCCACAACUGAACUAUUUAUGAUCUCUCUUACACCUACUCAUCCUUCGCUCUUUCUAAGGAUUGAGAAUGCACAAGAGUAGCACCUAGAGAUGGUGGAACUUAUCGGCAAGGUCAAGGAGUAGGAGGAGGAUUUAAAGGGGUACACUUUCUUUAAGCAACAGCCAACUAAGGCAAGGCAUUCUUCAGCAAUGGGAUGACAGUCCUAGUGGAGGGUUUUAAAGAAUGGAGAAUACUUAUAGAAUGAUCUCUUCUCUAUUUUAUUGGAAGAAAUUGAGAGAUGAAGCUAAAUUUAUGUGAGGAAAGUGUGCAGUGUGCCAAAAAAGAAAAUAUGAUGUUGCAGCUUCCCCAGGGUUACUCCAGCCCUGUGCAAUUCCUUUUCAGCGUAGUCUAGCAUUAGAACGGACUUUAUAGAUGGACAACCAAAGACAAAGGGGAAAACUACUAUUUUGGUAGUGGUAGAUAGUUCUUCAAAUAUGGACAUUUCAUUGCUAUCAGUCAUCCUUAUACUUCCAGUUCUGUAACUCAAGUCUUUCUGGACCAUAUCUUCGAGCUCCAUGGUAUGCUAUAGAAUAUUGUCAGUAAUCUUGAUCCUGUUUUCAUCGGUGGCAGGAGAUGUUUUCAUUACAUAGAGUUACAUUGAUCACUUCUUCAACUUAACACCCACAGUCGGAUGGCCAAACCAAGGUGAUGAAUAGAACUGUAGAGAACUAUUUGUUGUGCUACAAUUCAGAUAGCCAGCAUGAUAGGGCAUUAUACCUUUCAUUGGCUUAAUGGUGGUAUAACAAAACCUUUCACUCUACAAUCCAAGUAGCACCCUAAGAAACGUUUCAUUGUCAACCUCCUCCCAUCCAUCUGCCUUAUUUAGCUGGGGAAGCCUCAACGGAGGAGAUAGACAGGAGCUUGAUCACAAGGGAGUUCAAGAAUCAGUUGCUCAAGUUCCACUUACAUAGGGCUCAACAAAGGAUACAGUCUUUAGCAACAAGAGUAGAAGUGACAGGCAGCAACAAGCGGGAUAUUGGGAUGAGCGGAUUAUAAGUUGUCCUUACAUUCUCAUGUGACUAUCCACCCCACAUUCCAUGUGUCGCAGCUCAAGCUUUGCCAUGAGGUUCCAGUGACAUUUGACCACCCUCUAAUGGUGGAUAUUCCUUGUAACACCCAGUAAAUUCGGCUUAGGUAUGAAUGAGUUAAAUGAUUAGUAAGGUUAUAUUUUGGACGUGUGAAGUACCAUCGGGAUGAUUAUGUGUUAAAAUAUUUGUUUCAAAAUCAAGAUGGAAAGUAAGGUGCAUAAGAUUUGACAAAAUCGACUAAGUCUGCAGAAGGUCUGACGUGAAGCAAUAUUUAGUGAAACUGUGUAAGGAAUUUGGGAAAGCUCAAAGCAUAAAAGUUGUAGUCCUUUGAAAUAUCUUUCCAAUGAUAUAUUAUGCAGCCCAAACGGAUCUCUGUGCAAAAGGGUAUGUGCGUUUUACAUAACCGUAUAUGAUAUACGCGCCCGGCAGCGCGCCUAUAGCGCGACCGCACUAAUUUUGAGGCAGUAUUACCGCGGUUUUGCGCGGUCAGUAGUGCGGGCAGGUCUCCAGCUGCACGGGCACGCUCGUGGAGGAUCAUUUUAAGGUCAUAUUUCGUCCUCACAGUCCCAAAACAUAAAAACUUGUUCUAGAAAGGUCCACUCUCAAAACCUAACUCCUUAAGGGUUCUUCCACCACCCAAGGUAAGUUCUAAUGGUGAUUCCAAGUUAAUUUCAAAUUUUCAAUAUCUUAUUACAUGGGUAAAACCCUACCUAGAACUCGAAUUCAAGAAGAUUGAACGUCGAGAAGGUAAUAUCUUCACCCUCUUAUUGAUUCUAGUAUUGGGUUAAUGAUUAUAGACUCUAGUUCAUGAGAUAUGAGUUAAUGAGUUUGAUAGAAAAGCAUGAAUGAUUAUAAGUUUGGGUUGUUGAUUGUUGAUCAUUGGUUAAGUGUAUUGUUUACUGUCGACUCUCCCUUUUUCUAAGAGUCAAAAUUGGGUUUACGAAAUUUGGGAGGACAACUCUAUUCACUUUCGAGAAUUGGGUUUUGAAGUUGAAGAGUCGCCACCUAAUAAUUAUAGUGCAUUAAGACACUUUAAGAAGCGUUUGAACUGUAGAAAACCAGAGUUCGGGUAAGGGCUAGAAAUUAUAUCGAGGGGAAGGUGUUAGGUACCCCUCAUGAUCCACAAGUGUGGUUCCCGGCCAUAUUACAAUUGUGACUUUACAUAAACACAUAAUCAGUUAAGGCUCAAAUAAGGAUUUGCAUAUAACAUUGCAAUAAGUUGAAAAAUUGUGAAGAUAAGUAGAGAGAGCAAGAUUUUAUGAAAAGAAUUUAAAGAAAAGCUGAAAGCAAGUAAACGAAGAAAAAUAAGCAUGUAUAAUCCCACCCAAUUUCACUAUAAUCCCGGUCAUUCAUCACAAACUAUUACAAACCGGGAUAGUUGAAAUACAGUAAUGAAAAAUAAAAUAAGAAUUUAUUCUAUAGGGAGCCUUCAACCAGGCCCAGCCUUCCAACCUCACUUCUUUCGAGUUUCACAACCAUUGUCUGGGUGCGGCAAAGCUCCCUAGGGCCCCAUUGGGUCCCUGGCCAAUAUCAGCACCCAAACAUUUACCAAAAUAUUAAAGAAGUGCAGUGUGGAAUUACCAGCCUUGUGCAUCAAAGUUCAUUGAGCACUUACAAGGUGCCCAAAGAAAUGCUUACACUAAAUGGGUAGAACCUAAUUUCUAAGAGUAGUGAGAGUGUAUUGAUAGAGUUUUUUCUUUAAAAUAAAUUGAGUUGAGAAAAGAAAACAGUUUUAAAAAAAAAUGAUCCAUAUGGAGUCAAUUCUUGAAAGAAACAACAGAAGAGUGUGAUAGCUCUUGUAAGAAGGGGAAUAAAACAAUCUUAGACUAGAGUAUCAUACAUAAUUCAGGGAAACAACACAAACAGGGGACAUGGGACAAGUAGUUCAUAUGUAAGAACACAAUUGCAUAUACACAGACAUCAAAUAAUUUAUUUCAGAACUUAGACAGUCACACCAGGUUUCAACCAAAAAGGUUCAGGAUUACAUGUUGAAAAGGUACUAGGGCUAGGGGGCAGGGGAGAACAUGCAUUAAGCAAAUCAGUAGGCAUGCUGAAUUAAGAGAAGGUUAGCCACACUAAUGAACUAACACAGAGGCAAGUUAGUUGUAAUGAGAACAAUAGAAUUAUAAGUAAAAGCAUAAAAUAAACAAAAUGAAGUGCAAUACCCAUAAAAUAUAUUAUUUUGAAAACUGUAAAUCAAAUAGAGGACGUACUAGUAAAAGAGCAAAAUAGGAUGCAAAGUGGUAAUACUAUGUUGGCAUUGGCUUUCAACCUGCUGAUAAUGAGUAGGAGCAUAGAGCAUUAAUGGAGCAAAAGAACAAGAGAACAAGAGAGCAAGAGAGCCAGAGAGAUUUCGAAAGUAUUUAGUGAUGUGUGUAAGUCAGAAGACUGUGUGUGUUUUGUGUAAAGACAUAGGGUAUUUAUAAUUGAAGGUAGGUGAUAAAAUAAGGUUAAAAUUACAGAAAUAUGUUAACUGAAGAACUCGGAAUCAAUUAAUGAAAGAAACAAGGAAGUACUCCCAUUAAUUAAGGGAAUCAAAAUUAAACGAGAAUAUUCAACACCAUAUAGGGCAGGUAGAAAAAUCAAUAUACGAAUUAAUACGGAGGGGAUCAAGAUUCAAUAUUGCAUAUAGCAGCCAACUAAGACCAAAUUCAGGAAAAUUCUAAUAAAGAAAAGGCUAAAGAAUAGAGUACUAUAACAAAUAAAGUAACAAAACCAAUUAAUUUAAAAGGGCGGGUAUAAAGCUAGGUUUUUUAAAAGAAAGUUUUUGAAUUACUAAUCAAUCAAGGAAAAUUAUAAUCAAUCAUGUGAAGUCAUGAUUCUGCACAAUUAACAUAUAAAUAGAGGGGAAUUAACAAGAGUAGCGAACAAAAGUAGCGAACAAGAUUAGACAGGAAGGAACAAGAGAUGAACAAGCACAACCACUCAGAGAUAGUGGAAACAAGUUAAGAUUCAGCAGGGCAUAUUCAAAGCAUGGUGACCAUGAAACAUUAACAAGAAUCAAGAAAAUAGGCUAGCAGACAUAACCAAAGCAAGAAAAAUCAGGCUAGUACACACAAUCAAAUGAAGAAACAUGCUAGGGACAAAGCAAAGGAAAUUAGGCUACCACAUAUAAUCGAAGCAAAGAAACAUGCUAACAUACACAAUCAAACGAAGAAAUAUUUUCUAGAAAUUAGGGUUUUUAACAGAGCCAAACUAAAAAAUAAUAAGAGCAUAGAAAUCGAUCAGAAUAAACAAAGAAAAGGUUUUAAUCAUAAAGAAAAUCAAUCGAAGCAUGCAUAAAAGAAAUCCAAGAAACCCUAAGUAAAAAAAUGGUUCAAAGCAAAGGAUCUUAUAGAAUAAACAGAGUAUAGAGGAAAACAUGAAAAUAGCAUGAAAUAACACAGUUUUUUGAGAGCUUCAGGAGAGAGUUAGGGUUUCAUCCAACUUAAGAAUAACAUUAAAAAUAGCACUGGGAGUCACGAUCAGUACUUAAAAAUCAGAAAAAUAAAGUGAUUUUGAAAAAGGGGGUUCAGAAAUCCUAGUUUCAAAAAAGGGAACAAAAAUGUUUAAAUCAUGAACAACCGUACAGAUUAAGUAGAGAGUAGUGUAAACCACAAAAGCGUAAGUUAAAAAUUGUUAAAAAAGAUAGAGAUUUAAGAGGUCUAGUUAGAGGUUAGGGUUUCGUAAGAAACCAGUGAGAGAUGAGAGAAACGUGGCUAUGAAACUCAGUGAUAAUGGUGUCCACAGCACCAUCGGACCAACACCCAUAGGAGAAAAGUUCAGAGACAAACCAGACCAAUCUUCAGUGACAAUCUCGCAUGGUGGAGGCUUCUGGGGCCUCAAGAAUAGAGGGAGCCAACGAGGUAAAGCUUCACGAUGACUAGUGGUUGAAGGAGGUGAGGUUGGAGGCAGCUGGAGAGGCGGUGGGGUUCGUUGGAGAAGAAGAGAGAACUAGAAGGUUGUAGAGAGAAGGGAGAGGGAGAGUUAUAUAUAUAUACAGAGGCAAGUUAGUUGNNNNNNNNNNNNNNNNNNNNNNNNNNNNNNNNNNNNNNNNNNNNNNNNNNNNNNNNNNNNNNNNNNNNNNNNNNNNNNNNNNNNNNNNNNNNNNNNNNNNNNNNNNNNNNNNNNNNNNNNNNNNNNNNNNNNNNNNNNNNNNNNNNNNNNNNNNNNNNNNNNNNNNNNNNNNNNNNNNNNNNNNNNNNNNNNNNNNNNNNNNNNNNNNNNNNNNNNNNNNNNNNNNNNNNNNNNNNNNNNNNNNNNNNNNNNNNNNNNNNNNNNNNNNNNNNNNNNNNNNNNNNNNNNNNNNNNNNNNNNNNNNNNNNNNNNNNNNNNNNNNNNNNNNNNNNNNNNNNNNNNNNNNNNNNNNNNNNNNNNNNNNNNNNNNNNNNNNNNNNNNNNNNNNNNNNNNNNNNNNNNNNNNNNNNNNNNNNNNNNNNNNNNNNNNNNNNNNNNNNNNNGGUCUAGGGGGGGGGGGGUAAUUAGGAUUUAAUUAAGUAAUUGGAUCUGGAUCGUUGAUCUCGUUUGAUCAACGGUUCAGAUUCAAUUGGAGCUGGACCGGGUUUGUUAAUUGAAGUAUGGGUCGGUCCAAUUGGGGUUAGGGUUGGGUUAAUUGGGGGUUAAAAUUGAAAUAUGAAUGGGCUAUAAUUGCAAUAAAAUGAGGUUAAAUGUUAAAUAACUGAUUUUUUCCUUUCUAUUUUAUAUAAAAUAGUUAAAAUGAUUUUAAAAAUGACUUUAAAGCACUGAACCAAUUAAUAGUGUACAAGCAUUAAUCUAAAAAUACUAUAAAUGAUUUUAUAAUUAUAAAAUGGAAUUAAUUGUAAAAUAGGCAAAAUUUAUUAAAACUAUAUUUUAGUGUAAAUAUGAGAGUGAAAUGAGUUAUUCGCCAAAAUGAUAACUUUGGGAAUAAUUACUGAAUUUGGUAGUAUUAAAAUAGUCAAUAAAUUGGUUUUAAAAAUCUUUAAAAUUUUUGGAAAAAAUACCAAUAUACUUGGGCAUGCUCAUACUUGCAUAUAUAUGUUAUUUUGAAAGUAUUUUGAGUAUAAAAAUACCUAGGAAACAAUUGGGUAUCAACGCCUGCCUUCUUUACCUGGGAAGGAUGAAAGAGUUAUCGGGUAAAGAUAGGAUAACCAAUUUUGCUCGAAAGAGGCAAUUUGUAAAGACUUUUGACCGAGUUCUGGUUCGUGAGCUGCCUACAUAUCCCUGGUCUUACACGAAUCAGGCCCUAUGUAGUUCAGGAUCCAUCGACGAAAUAUGUCGAUGGAGAUUUUGAAAGGCGGACGCAAUGUUUGGGUUGCGGAAGGUAGUUGAAAUCUGAUGGGAUGCGGUAACCGGAGUGCUAUCGCUCCUAGUGAGAUAGUCUUUGCUAAUCGGUGUACCUGCAAGUGAGCAAUACAAACAUAUAUUGUGCAUAAAUUUAAACGUGAUGCAAGUUACUAUUGGACUACGAAUGUUGUCUUCGGAUGGGCAGGAUGACGUUCUCAGACCAUGGCGUCCGGGGCCAUGAAGUGUAUGGUAACGGAUUCGCAAGCUAUGAAAUGAUGUUCUCGGGCUAUGACGAUGAUGCCUCCGAACCAUGAUGCCUUUGAAUAAUGAUAUGCUAAAGAUAAAAUGGGUUCUGCAGGACAUGGCAUGGCGUUCUCGGGCUAUGAAAAUGAUGCCUUCGAACAAGGACGCCUUUGGACAAUUUGGUGAUCUUUUAGCCCAUGAAAUGCAAAAGGUGGCGAUCUUUUAGCCGAUGCAAGACAUAAAGUGGUGAUAUUUCAGCCAUGCAAAAUUUAAAGGGGUGAUAUUUCAGUCAUGCAAGAUUUAGAUAAAUGUGGCAAUCUUUCAGCCGAUGAAAGACGUAAAGUGGCAAUAUUUCAGCCAAGCAAGAUUUAAAGUGGCGAUAUUUCAGCCAUGCAAGAUGGGGACAGAGCUUUGUCCUGGAAGGUAGAAGGGUAGCCUUAUGAAAUGCGAGAAUGUGCAGAUAGAGAUAAUGCUUAGGCUAGGAAGGUAAAAAAGUAGCCUUAUGCAAUGCAGGAAAUGUAGAUGGAAACGAUUCUUUGUCUCAGAAGGCAGAAAGGCAGCCUUAUGCAAUUCAGGAUAGAGACAAAGCUUAGUCUCGAAAGGCAGAAAGGUAGCCAAAUGCAGAAAACGCAGAUGGAGACAGUGUUUAGUCUGGAAAGACAGGAAAGAUAGCCCUAUGCAGAAAUGCAGAUAAUGCAGAUGGAGACAAUGCUUAGUAUCGAAAGGCGAAAAUGUAGCCUUAUAUAGAAAUGCAGAUGGAGACAAUGCUUAGUCUCGAAAGGCAGAAAGGUAGCCAUAUGCAAAAAAUGCAGAUGGAGACAGUACUUAGUCUUGAAAGGAAGAAAGGUAGCGCUAUGCAGAAAUGCAGAUAAUGCAGAUGGAGAAAAUGCUUAGUCUCGAAAGGCAGAAAGGUAGCCUUAUGCAUAAAAUACAGAUGAAGACAGUUCUUAGUCUCGAAAAGCAAAAAGGUUGCCUUAUGCAAUGCUGGAAAUAAAAGGCAAAUAGUAAUGAAAAAAUGUUUAGCUGAUGGAUGAUAGCUGAUAGUUGAUUGCAUCAUUGUGGCUGCAGGGGAGGUUGUGCAUGGUUAGUAAUUGUGAAUAGAUGAUGAUUCUGAGAAGUUGCAUUCUUGAGAAAGUAUGAUUGCAUAAAUAUAUGUAAUGAUAUUGCGAAUUGAGUGCUUGCGUCCAAAGAAAAAUCAUGAGUUUUCUAAAAAAGGGAAGGUUAGUUUGUCUUCCCGUGGCCUUUACUCGUCCUGCUUGACGUGGUGUAUAAUUAGGGUUGCAUCUCUAAACACAGCGAUUCGGGUAAUAUUUAUUCAUGAUUCAGUAAAAAAUGUAACGCAAGUAUAUAAUCAAAAACAUUUUUCUUUUAGAUGAACUGACGACCGCGACGCGGUUCAAGACAUUGCGGCCUCUCUCGCUUCGGAAUUUUGAGGGUCCUCCUCAAAAUUCUUCUGCGUGCAAUGAACGACUAGCGAUCAACUUUGGAAUUUUGAUGGUCCUCCUCAAACUUUUGGCACAAUUUCCAGUAGCGGGGGGAAAUGGAAAUUUUAUAGAAUUGUGACGAACCUAUUAGGCUUCCUACAAUCCACUCUUAAAUGGGAAUCAGGUCAAGCGUUGUUCAAAUUACAUUAUAAAGGAAAUAAAAAAUGGUUAAAUAGUAUCGUUUUACUGCCUCUGACUUGAUUGGCUUCAGCCAGACUUCUCCAUCCAUUUUUGCAAGUAUGAGGACUCCUCCGGUUAAAACCCGAUGAACCAUAUACGGACCUUGCUAGUUGGGAGAUAAUUUUCCUUUGGAUUCAUCUUGAUGCAUAAAAAUCUUCUUCAACACCAGCUGCCCCGGUGUAAACUUCCUUGGCUUGACUCUUUUGUUGAAAGCUCUCUGGACAUUCUAUUCUGAUACAAUUGACCAUGGCGACCUACAUUCAUUCUUUUCCCAUCUAUAAGGGCUAGAUGCUCGUAGUGACCUUUUAACCAUUCUGCAUCUUCUAACUCUACCUCUUAUAUGAUCCUCAAGGAGGGAAUUUCUACCUCGGUGGGAAUGACCACCUCCGUACCGUAAACCAACAUAUAUGGAGUUGUCCCGGUUGAUGUGCGGACCACGGUGCAGUAUCACAAUAAGGCAAAUGAUAACUUCUAAUGCCACUGCUUAUGCUUUCUAUCAUCUUCCUCAGUAUCUUCUUGAUAUUCUUGUUGGCUGCCUCUACAACUCCAUUCAUUUGAGGCAUGUAGGCUGUAGAGUUCUUGUGUUUGAUCUUGAAGGUUUCACACAUCAUUUUCAUUAGCUCACUAUUGAGAUUGGAACCGUUAUCUACAACUAUUGACUCCGAAAUUCCGAGCCGACAAACAAUAUGAUCGCAGACGAAAUCUAACAAAAUCUUCUUGGUUUCUGCUUUAUAUGAUGCUGCUUCAACCCAUUUGGUAAAAUAGUCAAUUUCCACUAGAAUGAACCUGUGCCCGUUUGAUUCGGUAGGCUCGAUAGGUCUGAUAACAUCCAUUCCCCAAGCGGUGAAUGGCCAUGGUGAGCUUGUUGUAGUAAGCUCAUUCGGACGCACCUUUAUUACAUCUGGUAGCGAUGGCACAUUCGUACAUACUGAAUGCAGUAUGUUUCCAUAGUCAUCCAAAAAUAUCCUGCUCGGAGUAUUUUAUUUUCUAAGACAAAACCAUUCAUAUGUGGACCACAUGUUCCUAUAUGAACCUUUUCUAAUAACUUGGAUGCUUCCUUUGCUUCAACACACCUUAUUAAUCCCUAAUCAGGAGACUUCCUGUACAGGAUUCCUCCACUGUGAAAGAGGUUGUUAGACAACCAUCGAAGGGUGCGCUUCUGAGUAGCGUUGGUAAGUUCUAGGUAUUCUCCUAUUGUCAAGUACUCCUUGAUGUCAUGGAACCAUAGUUUUCCAUCUGCUUCUUCCUCGACAUAAGCAUAAUAAGGUGGUUGAUCAUAAAUCUUUACCGGGAUGGGGUAAAUGAAAUUCUCUUCUUGAUGUUGGAUCAUGGAUGAUAGAGUAGCAAAUGCAUCCGCGAAUUCAUUCUUGACCCCGGGAACAUGUUGGAAUUCCAUAUUUGUAAACGUUUUCCUCAACUCAUGUACAUGAUGCAGGUAAGGAAGUAUCUUAGAGUUCUUGGUUGCCCAUUCUUCUCUUACCUAAUGUAUGAGCAAGUCUGAAUUCUCGAUCACUAGAAACUCCUGAAUAUUCAUGUCAAUGGACAUCUUGAUCCCCGAUAUGCAGGCUUCAUAUACGACCAUAUUGCUAGGGCAUGGGAACUUAAGUUUGGCGAAUACCGGGUAAUGCUGGCCGGUUCCUGAUACUAGGACUACUCCUAUGCCAACUCCUUUGAAAUUUUUUGGCUCCGAAAAACAUUCUCCAACUGUCAUAGGAUUUUGAAAUAUCUUCUCCUGAGAAAGAUACCUACCUCUUCAUUGGGAAAAUACGUCUUUAGAGGCUUGUAUUCUCCAUCCACGGGAUUCUCGGCGAGAUGAUCCACCAAGGCUUGUCCUUUUAUUACCUUCUAAGUCACGUAAACAAUGUCAAAUUUACUUAGCAGGGUUUUCCACUUGGCGAGCAUGCCAGUAGGCAUGGGUUUCUGUAAGAUAUACUUCAGUGGAUCCAUUCUUAAUAUGAGAUAAGUGGUAUAUGCACAGAAAUAAUGCCUCAACUUCUGAGCUACCCAAGCCAGAGCACAAUAGUUGUGCUCUAGUAGAGAAUACCGAGCCUCAUAGAUGGUGAACGUCUUGCUUUGAUAGUAGAUGGCUUGACCCUUUCUCCUGGUUUCAUCAUGUUGUCCCAGAACACAACUGAAUGCUCCAUCCAAUAUUGCAAGGUAGAGCAAUAGAAGUCUACCUGGUUUGGGUGAACCAAAACUGGAGGCGUUGUAGGUAUUCCUUGAUUCUGUCAAAUGCUUUGUGGCAAUCAUCAGUCCAUUUGGUAGCGGUGUCCUUCUUCAAUAUUUAAAGAUGGGUUCACAAAUUCUAGUGGACUGAGCUAUGAACCGGCUGAUAUAGUUGAGUAUUCCUAGGAAACUCAUCACGUACUUCUUGUUCUAUGGCGGUGGCAAUUCUUGAAUGGCCUUAACCUUUUAUGGAUCCAAUUCUAUCCCUCGACAACUCACAAUGAACACUAGUAAUUUUCUGGCAGGAACCUCGAAUGCACACUUGGUGGGAUUCUAUUUCAGUUUGUACCUUCUCAGCCUGUUGAAGAAUUUCCUCUGAUCUUCCAUGUGGUAAGUAGCUUUUUUGGAUUUGAUGAUGACAUCAUCUACAUAUACCUCGAUUUCCUUGUGUAUCAUUUCAUGGAAAAUAGUAGUCAUGGCCUUCAUGUAAGUGGCACCAGCAUUAUUUAACCCAAAUGGCAUCAUCUUGUAAUAAUACAUCCCCCACGGCGUAAUGAAAGCCAUUUUCUCUGCAUCUUCCUCAUCCAUCCAUAUCUGAUGACACCCGGUAAAAUAAUCAACAAAUGAAUGUAGCCCAUGCUUGGCGCAGUUGUCAAUAAGAAUGUGUAUGUUUGGCAAGGGGAAGUCGUCUUUAGGACUGGCCUGAUUAAGAUAUCGGUAGUCGACACAGACUCUAACCUUCCCAUCUUUCUUUGGUACAGGUAUAAUAUUGGCUAACCAUUUUGGACACUGUACCACCCUGAGAACCUUGGCUUUGACUUGCUUGGUAACUUUUUCCUUGAUUUUCAAACUCAUGUCAGGCUUGAAUCUGAGUUUCUGCUUUACCGGCGGACAUGUUGGAUCUGUUGGCAGUUUAUGAGCUAUAAUGGAUGUACAGAGACCAAUCAUAUCAUCAUACGACCAGGUGAAUAUUUCCUCGUAUUCCUUUAGAAACUCUAUGUACUCUUUCUUAUAUGAUGGUGACAGGUGAACACUAAUGCGCGUUUCUUUGACAUUCUUUGUAUCCCCUAAGUUGACGACCUCAGUUUCGUCCAAGUUAGACUUAGGCCUAUUUUCAAAACCCUCAACUUCUUUAAUGACCUCUUCAGGUAUAUCAUCUUCUUUUGAGUCUAUAUCUUUUUAUUGUGUUGUCUCGUUGCAAGUCACAAUCGUCAAUUAAUCAUCAAGAUAAGUAAUAGUAAUGUUGUGUAUAUAAAGUAAGUGAUAAGGAUAAUAAUAAGAGUGAGAUAUAUAUAUAAGAAACUGAAAUGCUUUGAUUAAAUUUCAUAACUGUUUGGAACAUCGGAGCUCUUUUCAAAAAAGAAAUAUGGAAAUAAAAUCAACUAGUAAAAGUAAAAUGUGAUUCACGGUGAUUUGUUUAGCUUUGCCAUCCUGAAGAUUUCCGAGCCCUGGUGGUCCUGAUUGACUAGUUAUUAAGGCGUUCUCCUCACUUCACUGCUUAUAUGGAAGGGUCUUCCUCCCCUUCCUCCUCGAAAAGAACACAACAGUCCAUAUCAUCGUUCUCCAGAAAUAGGUUCUUCAUUUCUGCCAAUGCUUCCUCUUCUUUUCAAAAUUAAAGAAAAUACGGAAAGGAAAUCGACUGGUAAAAAAGUAAAAUGUUAUGCAUGGUAUUUUUUUAGCCUUGCUACCCCAAAGCUUUCUGGGCCCUGGUUGUUAUGAUUGACCAAUUAUUGAGGCGUUCUCCUCGGUUCACACUUUGUAUGGAAGGGCCUUCCUCCCAUUCCUCCUCGAAAAUAACACAGCAAUCUAUACCAUCGUCCUUCAGAAAUAGAUAGUUCAUUGCUGGAAAUGCUUCCUCUUCUUCUGACCCAUAUAUGGUUUCUGCCGGUUGGAAAGUCUGCUCUAGAUAAGGUAUCAGAUGUUCUAGUGGAUAUUAGGGAUCGCUCCAUGGUGGCGACCAGUGGUUGAAAUCCUCCCAAGCGUAUUCAUACCCCAAAUCAAAAGUGGUACCAUAUUUUUUCAGUUUGAUGGGUUUGGUAAUUCUUUGGAGGUUUUUGCCAAGUCCCUUUCCAGGCUCAUAUCCACACCAAUUCAGGAUACUCUCAAUCUUGUUAUCCCACCAUUUAUCUUGUUCACAAUGUUGACCAGUUCGAUGUGAUGGUAGGUUUCUCCGCCUAUUCUCCUCCUUUCUCCAAUCAUCGGGAUGGUAUGGCAUCUGUAUAUGGGGUUUCUACCAUCGCCAUGAAUAAUCACUUCUUAAUGAUUCCACUCCAAUUUCAUAGCUUGGUUCCGCGUUGACGCUACAGCUCCAGCGACAUGUAUCCAGGGCCGCACUAAUAGCAAGUUGUAGGAUGCUGUGAUGUCUAUCACUUGAAAGUCAACGUCAAACCAUGUUGGUCCCAUCCGCAGGCAUAAAAUGACUUCCCCAAUAGUGAAUCUUUGGGACCCAUCGAAGUCUUUGACAUUGAUAGCCCCAUCUUUGAUCUCAUGCAAGCUCUUUCCCAAUGCACUGAGGGUUAUCAAUGGACAUUUGUUGAGGCUGGAUCCUCUAUCGAUCAGGUCUCUAGUAAUGAAAUAAUCCUUGCAUUGCACGGUGAUGUGCAGUGCCUUGUUGUGACUCAGCCCUUCCGGUGGCAACUCAUCUUCGUGGAAGGUGAUUGUUUGGCUCUCCAGUAAUUGCCCUACCAUAUUUUCCAUUUCUCCUCCAGUUAUGUGACUGGGCACAUAUGCCUCACUCCAUAUCCUGAUCCAGCAUUCUUCUGCGCAUCGGAGCUCUGCAGAAGAGCUAGGAUGGAAAUUUGUGUCGGUGUCUUAUUUAGUUGUACAACGACUGAGUACUCUUUUGCCUAUUUCAUCCUCCAAAGAUCAUCGGGCCCAGUUUCAAUAAGUUUUCCAAAUGCUUUCUUACUGUACUCAGCUAGGUGUUAUGGGGUGUAAACUUGUUUAGUUCUGGUCAUACCUUGCACAGCAAUUGCUUCUCCAAAUUUGGUUUUUCCUUUCCUUAUUUCUUCGGCUGUGUAAUCCCAUGGUAUGACAUUUGAGUGGAACGGUGUUAUGUCUGAUGUUGCUACCAGAAUGAGCACCCUUGGAGGUAAUACAACGACUUCAAAUGGCGCGGGUGCUUUUGGAACUCCAAACUCGACAUUAAUCGGUUAGGGCGCCUUCGCAGAAGAAAGUGCUUCAAACUCGAGUAAUAUAGACUUGUUUAUUUCGUUGCCCCCGAAGGGCUGGUUCUGGACAACAAUCGGGUUAAGUGUGAAUAUUGGUUUCUUUGGCUCAUCACCCUCAGCAAUCAAUCAUAUCGACCCUUUGGUGUCCCAGUCAUCUUUGAUCUCGAUCAUGUGAAUGCCCCCACCCUUGUGGUCAGGCAGAGGGUUUUUGCAAAUAUUAGGAUUAGGCUCAUCUUCUAUGAUGAUCUUAUUGUCGAUUAGGGUUUAGAUCUUGUCCUUUAGUGAGCGACACUCCUCAAUGGCAUUUCCCUUCAUGCCAGAAUGGUACGCACAGGUUUUGUUUGGGUUGACCUAUUGGGAAGGAUUUUCUGGAGUUAUGGCUGGGAUAGGGGUGACGUAACCAACAGCUUUAUGUCUUUUAUACAACUUUUCAAUUGGUUUGGCGAUGGCAAUAUAUUGUCUUGGAGGUCUGCGGUCAAAAUUUGGUCUAUGUCAAGUGAAAUUUGGCGAGUGGGAGGUGACUGGUAGUGAGAGGAUUGAGUAUUAUAUGCUUGGUAGACAGGUGCGGGUUGAGAGUAUCUUGGUGAAGUGGGCUGAUAUGUGGGAGGUGGAGACGAUUGAUAAACGGGUGGUCGACUUUGGUAGGAGGGUGUGGGUGUUUGGUAAUUUGGGUAGGCUAAUAUGUAAGUGGAGGUGAUGGGUAUGUUUGGUAUUUUAUCGGGAUUUUGUUCUCUGCGCGACCAUCACGGCACUGACAUCCUUCUUCUUAAACGUGCCAGCAGACUGUACAGCCUUGCUUGUGGCCUGUAAUACUUCAAGCUUAGUAACCAUACCACUAUUAAUGCCUUCCUCAAUUAUUUCCCCUAGGUUGACCAUAUUAGAGAAUUUCUGGCCCUCGAUCAGCAUCAACCUCUUAUAAUAUUGUGGAUCCUGAGCCCGGACGAAGAAUUUGUUCAUUCGUUCCUCUUCUAAGGCUGGCCUGAUCUUAGCAGCCUCUGAUCUCCAACGAGUAGCAUACUCGCGGAAUGUCGUUAUAGGUUUCUUCUUCAAAUUCUGGAUGUAAAAUACGUCUGGUGCAUUCUCUGUAUUGAAUUUGAACUUGUCUAUGAAAUCGGACGCCAUACCUACCCAGCGUUUCCACUUCUUGGGGUCUUGGAUGAUAUACCAAGACAGAGCAUCCCCUUUCAGACUUCUCAUAAAGAGCUUCAUACGGAUCUUCUCAUCCUUUCCAGCUCCGACCAGUUUGUCACAGUAUGUUCUCAAAUAUACUCUAGGGUCUCCCGUUCCAUCAAACACUUCAAACUUGGGAGGUUUGUACCCCUCAGGAAGUUCAACAUCUGGCUAAAUGCAAAGGUCCUCGUAAUUCAUCCCCUCAAUACCUUUGUUUCCUUCAACACCAUGGACUCGGUUAGUCAACUUCUUGAGUUCUGCGGUCAGGUUCCUGAUGAGAGAGUCUUUAUCAUCAGACUCAGGUGUGCUUGAGAUUGGUUGAGUAUAGUAAGGUAUGGUUUCCAUGUAUAUGGGGGUGUUGUGGAGAGGAAAAUUUGUGUGGCUCAGGGAUGAGCAAUGGAGGGUUAUUAGAAGUGUGGCAUGUGUUACAAUGUUGAGUAUGAAUGAGUUGUUUUUGUGUUUGUGGGGUGUUAUAUGGAGGUGCGGGAUUCUGGGUGUUGGGAAUGUUGAUAUUGGGAGUGGUUAGGGAAAAUGACAAGUUUGUCAGGUUCCGAACUUAAUCCAGUUCUUCUCAAAACUUCACUAACUUCUACUCAAGUUGGGCAGCACUUUCCUUGGAGAUCUAGCUACCCUGAGUAACCUCUGUUCGUUCAUCCGAGUUCUCCUUUCUGAUGUUGUUCAAGUCUUCCAUUUUAUCCAUUUUCUUAUUUUUUAUAGGACUUGGAGGAGGAGGAGGUGGAGGGCCCUUGGAUCUCGUACAGUAUGAUGAUGAUGCCACAGUGCACAAACUAACCGUUGGGAAGGGAAAUAAAAAUAAAAAUAAAAGAAAAAUAAAAAAGCAAUAAGUUAGUGUGGGUUAUGAAAAGAAAAUGUUGCAAUAUUUAAACAUAUUGUGCACGAAUAUAAAUCGUGUCCUAAUUUGGGUGCCUCGUGGUGCCCGAGAUCGGCCUAGCGACAAAUAGUUUUGGAGAACUUAUAAUGCUAAAUGUCUCAUUUUAUUGAUAAAAAUAAGACGAAUCCCAAAACGACACUAAAUAGCGGAAAGUAAAAUAUCACUAAUGACCAAUGGCCUUAUUAAAUUAAAAGCGAAAAGAAAAGACUCCUAACUACUUGGUCUGGGAAAGAACUUCCCCAAACUUGGCAUCUUUAUCCCCAUCGAACAGUUUCACCAGCUUGCACAAUCCUAGUAGCAAAUAAGCUCGGGCCAGAUGUCCGCCCGUAUUUCCCUCAACGUUUUGACAGUCUUCAAUCCUUUUGAUGAACUUUCCUUAUAGCUCCACUAGACCCCGCUCAAAAUACCCCAGUCUUUUGUUGGCGCUUUACAGCCAUAUCUUUCCACUAUUUAAUCAACUCCUGAUGGGCUUCUUGUACCUCCUAGUGCUAGUUUUCACCUUCUCAAAUUCUCUUGCACAGUUGGUUGUACUUAACCCGUCUUUCAGCCUUUUUAGCGAUGACACUAUGACCUCGAAUGAACCCGGGCUAACCCAAACCAUUAUAAUUUUCUUCCAACCAACUCUAACAGUAUGGUGCACAGCCGGCGUGAUACCUUUCUGGCUCAAUAGAGUCUUUCCCCAAGAUUAUUUUGCAGUGCCACAUGUGCUGAACUUGGAACUUGUAAGGGCUAUCAUCAUCCUGGAAGUCAUCCCUAAAGUGAAUCAUCUUGUCGACCCUUCGUAUGACUUGCUUUCUUCUUGCCUACCUCAUGACACGGAGAGGGACAUAGGAAUAAGUUCCCUUCAGACCAAUGAGUAUGAGAAAUGGUGCAUCUCGGGAUCGAACAAUGAAUUCUUCCGUAGGGAACCACUCGAACAUCCAUUGUACCUGCCCUUCUUUCAGAUUUUCAAACAAUUCCUACCCAUCCUCUAGCGUUCUCUCGCUGAGCGAAAACAUCCAUUGAACCUGGUCUUCUUUCAUAUUUUCAAAUAACUAUACCCAUCCUCCAGCAUCCUCUGGAUGAGCGAACAUGUUAGGCAAAUAAUUAAUUCGCCUUGGCUGAUGGAAGGCGAUGUGAUCAUCCCAGUCUCUGCAAAGAAUCUCUGGCCGAUACUCACCCUUUUGGAGUUGCUCCAUGAGCCAGAGCUGGAGUAAUGGAUUGCAACCCUCAAAAUGAUUGGCCCCUCAUUGACAGUUCUUUGGGGAUCAGUAUAUAUCAGCAAAGAUCAUAGGUACUAAGCUGAAAGGCUGCCCGCCAAUUCCUUCCAUCAAAGUCUUGGUGACCAUGACCAGUCUGGUAUGGAUCCAUGCCUUCUUCAUGGGGAACACUCAUUCCCAAAAAGUAGAACAUAAAGACGAAGACCCUCCUAUGGAUAUGCCCUAAUGAGGUAAGGGAAAAUUCAUCUGGGUAAGUGCGGUAUGACUUGCUAUGGCCGUACCUCUCAUACAGAUAGUCGAAUGGAAUGUAAGAGUCCUUCAAAUAGGUUAAAUCUUGGUUUUUCUUUAGUCCCAUCAUCUUGAGGAAACCCCUACCCUUGCGAUUUUCUGGCAUAAUCAAACCUGAAUCUCCCAAGGAAUACCAGCUAACCAUCCUAUUUCCUCGAGCAAAGGAGUCAUUUCAAAGUCCCCGAAGUGGAACAUGGAUCUGUCACUAUCCCAUAAUAGAAUUGCAGCCUCUAUAAUUUUGUUGUCAGGCUGGAUCUCUAGAAGAAAGGCAAAUUCCCUAAAUACUUGCGGGCGAGUGUCUGAUCACUAGAGUGAAGGUCUUUCUACCAACUUAGCAGCAUUGGGUGAAUGUUGGUUACCAUGCCAAAUCUGGAGACUUCGUACCUCAUUUUCUGCAAAAUAAAGUGUUAGGCCCUUACCCCACCGGACUCAACUAUUUAAACCAAUAAUUGGCAUAAAAAGCAUUUAGUUCUCCAAAUAAAUGCACAAAAUAUGGUUGUGUCCGUUUGGGUUUCAAGAAAACCCGAUGGACUUUGGAAAAGGCUAUCUUAAUGAGUCAUUAUAUGGACAACAUAACUGACUCGUCUAGGUUUGACCAUGAUGCUUGCACAGAUAAACGGAGUAAGGUUUCUAUGGGGGUAUUAGACUGGUACCCUUGAGCGCACAACUCAAGAGGGAAAGACGUGGAACCUUUGACUGCACCGCUGAUCGACCGGUUUUACCGUAAUUACGCCUUUGCAAAAUUUAGAGGAUGAUAUUAUUGGAAGAGUGCAACCACUCAUUAUAAGCAUUGCUAUGGUAUUUGUUCGCAUGAGUGGAAUAUGAUGUUGAAGAUGUAAUUACAAGAAUAAAACAAGUUGUCAUGUAUUUGCACGUUCAUAUGAUAAUGAUUACAAUAAUUGCUUGUAAUUACAAUAGUAUUGAAGUAAAGCAAUAAAAGAAAGAGUUAAAGAAAAGAAAUAAAGAACCAAGUCAGUUCGAAGUUGAAGGAGAUAAAGACAUUUAAUCAAGUCAAUAAAAAAGCAGUGAAGUCACAAAUAACAUGCAAUGGUAAAAGCAUAAAGAUUCCCCAGCCGAGUCGCCAUGCUAUAUCGCCCCUCUUUUUCUCGAAAUCAGGCUUCACAUGUGACAACACUUUUAAUUGUAUAUUAAAAGAGAAGAGUCACCACCUAACGAUUUUUAAGGUACUUUAGGGAGCCUAUUUGCAAAUAACUCUGUUUGACUAGUCAAUGUCACCAAAAAUCGAGUAAGGGCUCAAAUUACCUCAAAAAAAUGUGUUAGGCACUCUUCGAGGUCCACAAUUAUGGUUCCCGGCCGAAUUCUAGAAUACGUGGGAUUAUUGGGUUAAGCUAAAGUAAUAUAAAUAUAUACACAAACCAAUUUAAUUCUUAUCCUAAGUAAAAUAAUAAAUUAAUUGUGCAAAACUGUUAUCGUACUAAGAGGGCUCGGUAUUUUAAAUAUGUGAUGUUACUACCAGUUAUAAAAGAAAUACUUACAAAAGAAAGGUUUCACCGACGUGUGAAACUAAGUACAAUAUGUAUUACAGAAUACCAGUGCCAGUUAAAGAAAAAAAACCAAACAACAACAACAACGACGACGACGAUGAUGACCCAGAAAAAUUCCACUAGUGGGUUCUGGGGAGGGUAGUGUGUACGCAGACCUUACCUCUAACCCGAAGGAGUAGAGAGACUGUUUUCAAAAGACUCUCGGCUCAAGAAGACAAAAAGACAAAGGAAGACAAUAUUAGUAAUACCAUAGAAAUAAUAUAUAUAUAUAUAUAUAUAUAUAUAUGAAAAAUAGAAAUAACAUGAAAAUAAAAGGAUGAUAUAAAGCAAAGCAAAAAUUGUAUCCCUACCAAACUAGUCUCCCAAAGUCAUGACAUAAGGCAAAACUCAACUACCUCCUAGCCUAUAACCCUAAUACUCGACCUCCACGUGUUCCUAUAAGUACCAUGUCCUCGGAAAUCUGGAGCAUCGCCCUAUCCUGCCUAAUCCCCUCCCCCCAAUACUUCUUGGGCCGCCCUCUACCUCUUCUCGAAUCCUCCACAACCAGGCGUUCGCACAAGUGACAUGUCCUUGGAAAUCUGGAGCAUCGCCAUAUCCAGCCUAAUCAGCUCCCCCCCAAUACUUCUUGGGCCGCCCUUUAUCUCUUCUCGAGCCCUCCACGACCAGGCGUUCGCACCUUCUUACCGGAGAAUCUAGGCUUCUUCUCUGAACGUGCCCAAACCACCUGAGCCUUGCUUCCUGUAUCUUGUCACCAAUGGAAGCCACGCCCACUUUCUCCCUAAUAACAUCAUUCCUGAUCUUAUCCAUCCUUCUAUGCCCGCACAUCCACCUUAACAUCCUCAUUUCUGCUACCUUCAUCUUGUGGAUAUGUGAUUUUUCAACCGGCUAACACUCAGACCUAUACAUCAUGGCCGGGCCUGACCACCGCUUUAUAGAACUUACCUUUGAGAAUCAGUAGCACUCUUCUGUGACACAAUACUCCAGAUUUUAACCUCGACUUCAUCCAUCCUACCUCGAUACAAUGCAUAACAUCAUCAUCAAUCUCCCCUCCCCCAUGGAUAACUGACCCAAGGUACUUGAAGCUAUCUCUACUCGGGAUGACCUGUGAUUCAAGCCUCACAUCCACGUCCACUUCACUCUGCUCAGUGUUGAACUUACACUCUAGGUAUUCCGUCUUUGUCCUGCUAAGCUUGAAACCCUUAGAUUCAAGAGUUUGUCUCCAAACUCCAGCCUCUCGUUAAAACCGGUUCGUGAUUCAUCAAUCAGAACUAUGUCAUUGGCAAAUAGUAUGCACCAUGUCACAUCCCCUUGAAUGUGAUGUGUUAACGCGUUUAUCACCAGGGCGAAAAGGAACGGACUGAGUGCAAAACCUUGGUGUAACCCCAUAACAACUGAAAAAUCCUCAGAGUCACCUCCUACUGUCCUAACCUGAGUCUUUUCCCCAUCAUACAUGUCCUUAAUCGCCAUAAUGUAGGGAACUGACACGCCUUUCGCCUUCAAGCUUCUCCAAAGAACUUCUCUAGGGGCCUUGUCAUACGCUUUUUCUAGGUCAUAAACACCAUGUGCAUAUCUCUCUUUCUAUCCCUGUGCUGUUCAACCAACCAACCUUCUAACAAGGUGUAAUGCUUCUGUAGUAGAACGACCCAGCAUGAAACCAAAUUGGUUGUCGGAGAUGGAUACCACCACACUCAACCUUGCUUCAACCACUCUCUCCCACACUUUCAUAGUAUGGCUCAGUAAUUGAUACCCCUAUAAUUGUUACAAUUAUGGAUUUUACCUUUGUUCUUAUACACUGGAACCAUCGUACUACACCUCCACUCAUCCGGCAUCUUCUUCACCUUAAAAAUAACAUUCAACAACCUCGUCAACCACUCCAACCCUGUUCUCCCCACACACUUCCACAAUUCUACCGUGAUCUCAUCAGGCAUGAUCCUUUGCCCCUGCUCAUCCUACUCAUAGCUCUCACAACCUCCUUAACAUUGAUGCGCCUCCAGUACCCAAAGUCACAGCGACUCUGGAAAUAUUCCAAAUCACUGAGCACAAUAUCCCGAUCCUUUCUGGGACUCAUCCAUCAAUACUCUACCAUCGUCGUCCUUGAUGCAUCUGACUUGGUCUAAAUUACGGGCUUUCCUCUCCAUCAGCUUGGCCAGCCUAAAUAACUUAUUUUCUCCUCCUUUCUCCCCUAGUUCCUCGUACAUACGACUAUAGGAUGCAGUCUUAGCCUCUGUGAUCGCCCACUUCGCUUCCUUCCUAUCUAUCUUAUACCUCUCCACAAAACCAACGUAGAAUGAAUAUGAUUUGACAAAAAAUUAUGCAAUCACUUAGUCAGUAUGAACUACGUAGGAGAAAUCUAUUAGUUAGGGGGUCGUAACUCUUAGAAUUAGAAAUUGCUCAAAAAAGACUCACAAAGACAAUGUUAUUUUUAUUGUAAGGCAAGAUCUAGUCAUUCAUGACAUUAUGAACUAGAUGCUGACCAAAUUUUAAAACCACACGUACAAGAGCGCAUACCUAGAAUGUCACUCCUAAAAAACAAGUUCUAUGGCAACCACGACACAUAAGCAAGCAGAUAAAGUUAAUAAGCUAAUGUACACCUAGUUCAGGCAGGGAUAUAGACUUAAGAGUGUCAAAUAAACAAUUAUGAUAUAUAAAGUAAGAGUAAAGGAAACCAGACACUAACCUUUAGUCACAAAAAGCUAAAGGAAAUCAUAAAUGACUUAAUGCUCAAUUUGAAAUACCAUCUAUUAGUGCAUUCACUAGUAAGCGAGCAAGCCAUCAGAGGUUCAUGGUAGACUUCAUUCUUCGUGGAGAAGUUGGCUCCGACAAAUGUCCAUGGCAGUUGCAGCUCAGACACAAGAAAAUAUUUAUUAGGUAAAAAUGUGCGCAACCUUAAAGGCGUGGCAUGUGACAAUUAUUAGUCACAUGUCGUUGUCCUUGACGGCGACUUAAAUGUGAGGUCAAAAAUUAACACAUAAGCAAGUAGAGUAAGUAAUUUUGACUACCCGAUCAAAACAAGGCUAACGCGCAAUAAGUUAUAUUUUAUUCUAUUAAAAUAAAUACUUAGUCAAGUAAAGCAUGCUGACAUUUAGCAAAUAUUGCAACAAGUUCAUAUAGUAAAUCAAAUAAUCAUCAAAAGAAAGACCGGCCUAGUCAUUUAAACAAAAAUCAAACAUUUAAGGACUUGACCUCUUAGUCCUUUAACCUCCCACAUAUUAUCGAUUAACUUGGGGGAGGUAUACACAUAAUGGGUUAGCAAAUUAAUAUUCAUAAGCUAGUUCAAACAAUUAAAGAAAAAUAACAACACAAUGCUACGACCAUUUCAUUUUAAAUGACAUAUUCAUUUGCAUCUCAUACAUUUCCAUCCAGUUAGACAAGAACAUGAUGCCCUCUCACACUUUGUUUAAAGAAGAUGAGAGACAUUACCAGUAAUCAAGCUAUUACAAACAAUUCAGUCAUAAUGCGAAAGUGAAGAAAUAUUAGUUGCUCUUCCACUAACUCACGUACUCAUAAUUCUUUUAGAGAAACAUGAGCAGAUUCCAAGAAGUUAAAUAAAAAUUUACAUCUAAAACUUUACAUAUAUAUAUAUAUAGACACUUUUCAAAUGUAAUAUAUGUAUAGGUCAAAAUAUGACCCCGAGAUAAUUAAUGAGAUUAAUUAUAUCUUAAGCUAAUUCUUAGUUAAUAAGUGAUAUGACCACUUAUUAAUCACGAUACCCGAUUAUCAGCCGACUCGAUCAAUAAGGCUAUGACCUAUCCGCCAUCGUAAGGACGGAACCUCAGUAUAGUCACGACCCUCCAUUGCCAGCUCAUACAGCUUAUAACUAUAAAUACUAAGAGAAAGAACCGUAGAAGGGGGGUUGCUUCUCUUCAUCACUACCCUCAAGAAAAGAGAGAACAUGAUUGUAAGACUCUGAACCCCUCCAUGGAGAGGCAGACCGAAUCACUCAUAUCAAUAAAAACUCUCUAUACAUUUCUCCUUAAUGAAUAAUACUCGCUUCUUAUUCUUUCUUUUGGUCCCUUGAUUUAUUACGAUCUGCUAUGAUUGGCCCUUAAAUUAUUUUGAUUGUCUUAUGCUUGUAAAGUAUGUGAUAACUUUGAGCAAAAUAAUUUGGCGCCGUCUGUGGGAAUUUCAUAGCAAAAAUCGCGUAGUUCUUCCCCGGACCAAAAGGAAAGAAACACCAAAGAACAACCCAGCUCGAACAAGCUAAAGCGGCAUAUCGGACAAAGGGAACUCGAAGAUAUCGAAUUGAGACCCGACUGCUCUGACACUCCUCUAUCGGAUAGUGAGAGCAAGAAAAAGAAGCAGUCCCCCACCCUCUUUUGAGGGUGGAUCUUUGUAAGGCAUCUCCCGCAUCUCUGAUACGGGAUCCAGCCGGAAAUCGGCAUGAAGGUACCUCAAACCGAGAGUCACCUCAGACCAGCCUACAUACAUCGCUUGGAAAGACAGCAUAUGAGCCGCUCAAGAUCUCUACUCAAUACUAAGCUUCAGUCCUCAACCACCGACAUAACGAAAUCCAGGCUAUAUGCCUUCGACAAUAGGUUAAACCACGGUUGAACUGGGACUCAGGCUAUGCGCCUUCGCCAUCAAAUUAAUCAAGGUUCAACCACGGUUGAACUAGGACUCAUGCCAUGCGCCUUCGCCAUCAAAUUUAUCAAGGUUCAACCAUGGUUGAACUGGGACUCAGGCUAUGUGCAUUCGCCAUCAAAUUUAUCAAGGUUCGACUACGGUUGAACCGUGACUCAGGCUAUGCGCCUGCGACAUCAAAUUUAUCAAGGAUCAACAACUGUUGAACUGGGACUCAGGCUAUGCGCCUUCGCCAUCAAAUUUAUAAAGGUUCGAGUACGGUUGAAUUGGGACUCAGUCAAUGCGCCUUCUCCAUCAAAAUAAAAUGUUCAACUACAAGUAGAACCGAGACUCAGGCUAUGCGCCUUCGCCAUCAAAAAUAAAAAGUUCAACUACAAGUUGAACCGGGACUCAGGCCAUUGGCCUUCGCUAUCAAAUUUAUCAAGGUUCGACUACGAUUGAACUGGGACUCAGGCUAUGUACCUUCGACAUCAAAUUUAUCAAGGUUCUACUACGGUUGAACCGGGACUCAGGCUAUGCGCCUACGAUAUCAAAUUUAUGAAUGUUUAACCAUGGUUGAACUGGGACUCAGGCUAUGCGCCUUCGCCGUCAAAUUUAUCAAGGUUCUAGUACGGUUGAACCGGGACUCAGGCUAUGUGCCUUCCCCAUCAAAAAUAAAAAGUUCAACUACAAGUUGAACCGGUACUCAAGAUAUGCGCUUUCGCCAUCAAAUUUAUCAAGAAUCAACUAUGGUUGAACUGGAACUCACGCUAUGCGCCUUCACCAUCAAAUUUAUCAAGGUUCAACUACGGUUGAAUCAGGACUCAGGCUAUGCGCCUUUGCCAUCAAAGUUAUCAAGGUUCAACCACGGUUGAUCCGGAACUCAGGCUAUGCGCCUUUACCAUCAAAUUUAUCAAGGUUCAACCACGGUUGAACUAGGACUCAGGCCACGCGCCUUCGCCAUCAAAUUUAUCAAGGUUCAACCACGGUUGAACUGGGACUCAAGCUAUGCGCCUUCGCCAUCAAAUUUAUCAAUGUUCAACUAUGGUUGAAUCGGGACUUAGGCUAUGCGCCUUCGCCAUCAAAAACAAAAAGUUCAAUUACAAGUUGAACCGGGACUCAGGCUAUGCGCCUUCGACAUCAAAUUUAUCAAGGUUCAACCACGGUUGAACUCGGACUCAGGCUAUGCGCCUUUGCCAUAAAAUUUAUCCAAGUUCAACUACGGUCGAACCGGGACUCAGGUUAUGCGCCUUCGCCAUCAAAAAUAACAAGUUCAAGUACAAGUUGAACCAAGACUCAGGCCACGCUUCUACGACAACAAAUCCAACGAGCGAGACCUCGCAUGAGCCAGGCUAGAUGCCUUCGCCGUUGGACCUAACGACUCAGGCCAAACGCUAAUAUCACCAAACUUGACAAAACCCGGCCCAUGGCAAAUAGGGGCGCAGGCCCACCACCCUCGCCAUUCAAGUAAGUACUCCCAACUUGAACUACAAUGGGGACCUUGCAGUGUUCGGCACCGUUCAAACUACAAGGCCGCCAUUUUUGCCAUCACAGUCGGUAGUUCGAUCGCGCCCGAACUGGGAAUAAGGCUAAGUGCCGCUAUCUCCAAAUAACAGCUACAACUUGUCUGCACUGAGACAAAGUAGCAAGAGUGUUGACAACCAAAAGUCAACACACUUACCAGAGUCGUACCUUGAGGCAAAUCACCCCUCGAACACAUGCAAUAGAAAAAUCUAAAGAAUGGAAAACAUAAAAUAAGCACAAGACUAGCAAUGAAAAAAUUAAGAUUGCAUAUAUACUUACAAAGUCAUGCAUGGGCAACGCCCGCUUACACUCGGCCAAGGCCAGCCAGUACGAAGAAAAAAAAAUCUAAAUACCAAACGACGAAUGAAAUAAAAAAAAAGUACAUCAAAGCUUUUCACUCGGCGUCACCCGAGACACCAUCAUCACCCCCACGGGGCCAAAACCACAAUCAAUACGGGCUUCACGAGCCCUUUGAUGGGCUGCCUCAAAAGCAGCUUUGGGCACGAUGCCGGCCUCUCACGGGUUCAUAUAAACAUCUCAUUGGGCCUCGAAAAAUGUCCACAGCUCAUGAGCCUGGUUGGAAGAGCCAAUCUGGUCCCUUAGGCACUGAUUCUAUCCCUCCAAGGCCGUGAUCCGAUACGACAUGGCUUGGGCAUCCCGCUCAUAGACACCGAUGCAGUCCUCUAGCUCCACCUCUCUGAAGGCCACAGCAGCUCUCUCCGACUCCAGCCCCCUUUCAUGAACGCGGAUCGCCACCUCCAGUGCCAUAACCCUCGACGAGGCACCCUUUCUUGUAGCCCCAAAACGGCUACCUCAUUCUACAGUGAAACCACCUUCCUGUUCAAGGUCUUAGGGCAUUCGCAACAAUAGCCUGACUCUGGCACUCCCUCUCUGCUGCAGCACUCCUUUCGGCCUCUAUCUCCUUGUCUUUUUGACGAAGCUGCUCCUCGAGGGCAUGUAUCCUAUCAAGUGCUUGCUGCAUUUGAAGCUCUAACCUCGCCAACUACUCGACCAAGUCCCGGCUACGGGGGUCGUUCCCCAGGCGCUCGCAUAUCUCGCGGCACAGGUCCCGGUAGCGGCGGUACUUCUCCAACGUCCGUGAAAACAUCUCUCUACAGAUGUUGGCUCGACGGAUGCUCUCCACCUCCAACAGAUAAGACUGCAAAGCAAAGAUAAAGAUUAAAGUAAAAACAAAAUAAGGCAAGAAGAAAGUAGUAGAAGGUCAUCAUAAGUACCUUCAGGCACAUCGCGACCACAUUGUUUAUCAACCCGACAUUCGUAUCUUCCGUCAACGAUCCAUUUUCUGCCUCCGAGCAUAACAUCUCAAACAACGGCACCAAGUCGUCCCCUUGAGGCAGCAAGUUCUGCUCCAUAGGAAUCUCGAAGUAGCAGAAUCGCCCCUCUGCGUGUACUAUCGAGUGGGUAAAGCUGUCAUGGAAAAAACGGACGUCCUCUGGUUCCAAUUCAGACUCAAACCCAUCUUCACCUCCUUCAGUGCCCCUUCCGCCUUCCUCCGCAGGUGCAGAAGGAGCGCUCGAUUCCCCGAUAAAAAAAAAGCCGUUGAGGAGCUACCUCCUACCUCAAUGGAGGGAACAAUCAAUUGAGUCACCGAAGCGACAAUAUCAUCAUGGCUUGAGCAAACCGAGGCAACCCCCACUGUUUGUCCGCCCUCAAGGGCGGGCGCCGCAACCUCGCGCCUCUCCGCAAAUGAUGGGGAAGAAUCUAAAUUGAUCACCACUGGAGGGGCCGGCGUGAAGGAAACCCUCCUCCUAACUAGCGGCCUUUCCUCUUCCUCCUCCUUAUGUGAGGGUGACUCCGCCCUGGGACGCACCACCCCCGACGGCCCUUCAGUCCAAAGUACGGUCCGUGUUGGGGAAGGUAUUGCUGAAGAUUCAACCGACGACGCCCUCGGCACUAUGCGCGUUAUUGGCGCUGCAAAACGAGCAGUUUCAUCCGACCGACGGAAGGUUAGCUAUGGAGCCCUGGCACGGCUUGCCCUCCCUGAUAAUGGAAAAACAUAAGAUCAGUAAAUGGAGUUGGAAACAAGAACGAAAUAGAAGCAUAAGACGAAUCCUCACCAGUUGCAGGCCUACGGCCAUGCCUCUCCUAGAAAGAUGCCACGUGCGUAUUCCCGCUGUAUGCGGAAGCACGGCCUCGACGUAUUCACAUAUACCAGGCAGCAGAGCCAACGACGUCCUAUCUGCUACAAAAUCAACACAAAAUGCUUACGGGCAUGAGACAUAGAGAAGAAUGAAAAAGUGAAUUCGACGAUUAAAGAAAACUUAUGCACAUGGUUCCAAGACUCUGGGAACCCAGGCAAGGACAACACCAAAUGAUUGGUUCUGAUAUAGAAGAAGUGCUCGAAAGGGCGAGGGUCGACCACGUCAUCCAGUUCUUCGACCAGGCCCCUCGACCCACGAGGGCUUGCCUGAAUCAUCGUGCCACGGGUCUUUUGGGGGGCGUAUAGGCAAAGUACGUGUUGCAGUGUGACCUCUCUGCCGGCCAGCUCCGCAUACUUGAUGAACAUAACAAGCAGCUUAUAGAGAGGAGUAAGCUGGCCAGGGCAUACGCCAUAGUAGCAGCAAAAAUCCACUAUUAACAUUGGAACCGGGAGCUUAAAUCCCAACUCGAAGGGGUAGGCAUAGAAGACGCAAUACCCCCUGCGGUCGGUAUGGACCCUCUCCAUGCUUCUAGCUAAAACAAUGUUGGCAUAGCCGUCAACGCCCCAUUUUUCCCGAAGUUGGUCCAUUCUAACUUCCCCCAUUAGAGGGGCUUCAUCCACUGGAUCUUCCCCACCGUCGGCAGUGAAGUCAGUCGUCGGGCCUCCAAGCAGAGUUAGAAUCUCGUCAGCCGACGGAAUACCUUCGAUGUCCACCGGUUCAGCACCUCUUACCAUCGGCUAUGGCCUUUCAGCCACCGGAGGGUUAACCAGAAUAUUUGUCAUAGGAAUGUUUUUGUUUUCUGCUUGCCAUUGCUGAUUAGAAAAUGAAAAAAGAGCAGGAUUCGACGGAAAUAUGGGGAUUGUAAUGAACGAAGAACAACUACGAAAAUGAACUAGCAAGAGAGCGAGCUUUAUCAGAGAUCUUACUCAGACAAAUGACGAAAAGAUGAGAAAUAAAUACCUCAACCCUUAUUUAUAGGCAACAAAGGCAGCUUUCACGUAUUCCAAAAGCCAUCAUUAACUACAUGACCAACUGCAAAACGGAUCGGUUCCACAUAAACGUGCGUCAUUAUAACAGACUCCACGAAGCGGCUUUUAAGUCACCAAUCAACGUUUCCCUUCCAAAACGGUUGGAACGACCUAUGAACAUUGAGGCAACGUCCUCUGCACCUCCAAAACUUCGAUCGUCACCAAUCACAUACCAAGCGUGCCCAUGCUCCGUCGUCCACGCAACAUAUAAUUCGUCCACCAAGGACGACGUUUAAACCCUCAAAACAAACAAAAAUUCAAACGCAAUGUAAACGGCUAAGGCCUUGCACAAUAUUAAGGCUAUGACCAUCUCAAUGUAUAAAUGAUUACGGCCGUCCCCAAUGCGUAAGCAACCAAGGCCAUCGACACGAAAUGUCUAAGGUCAUCAAUUUCAACGGCAUAAUCUCCCACAUAUAAAUGGCUACGGCCAUUUUGGCCCCAACCGAAGCUGCAUUCAGUGAAGUCCGCUCAUCGAGCUCGGUCGAGGCACGACCUCAAUAAGUGGAGGGACUAACUGUAUGGGUCAGAAUAUGACCCCGAGAUAAUUAAUGAGAUUAAUUAUAUCUUAAGGUGAUUCUUAGUUAACAAGUGGUAUGACCAAUUAUUAAUCACAAUACCCGACUAUCUGCUGACUCGAUCAAUAAGGCUACGCCCUACCCGCCAUCGUAAGGACGUAACCUCAGCAUAGUCACGACCCUCAAAUUAUUUUGAUUAUUUUAUCCUUGUAAAGCAUGUGAUAACUUUGAGCAAAACAGUACCAAAAUCUUAAAAGGAAGCACAAAUACAUGAAGCAAGCAAUGCAAACAAGUGUGGAACCAACAAAGCAACUAAUUACACCAUCGCCAGCCCCCAUAUGGAAAUUCAGUAGGAUAUACUCCUUCCGUUUCAUAUUGUUUGAGAUAGUUUGACUAGGCACGAAGUUUAAGAAAAAGAAGAAGUCUUUUAAAACUUGUGGUCUUAAAAGAUUAAACAGGUAAAAGGUUUGUGGGGUCAUACCAUUCGUGUGGCUAGAAAACUUCUCACUAUAGGCAAAAAGGGUAAAAUGAAGAAUUUAAAGUUGAAUUAUUUCUAAAUUUAGAAAUGUGUCAUUUAUUUUGGAACAUGCUAAAAAGGAAAGUACCUCAAACAAUAUGAAACGGAGGGAGUACAUAUAUUCAUGACAAGAACCUCUUUCAGAUUCGAACCAACUAAAAAUCGGUAAUGGCGACGGAAACAUGCAUGAUAUCGAGUGUGGGAGGGAGCAAUCUUAACUUUGAAGCGUGAUAAAGAACAUAGAAGGCCAACAAUAUGAACCGUUUCUGAAAUCCCCGAUAUAGCGACAGCAGCGACGAGGCCGAAAAUAGUGAAAUAAAAACUAAGACGCAGUUUAUAGUACUGUGAAUAAAGUAAAGAAGAUGUAGACGUCGCCGUGAUUGUAAACGCUGGUUGCAUCGAUGUCAACAGUGAUGAGGAGUCGAAAAUUUGGAAUAUGAAGGUUUUCUCACACUAGGGUGUAGAAAACACGAUAAAAGAGAAGUAAGAAUUGGUAGUUAUUGAUGAAGAGGAGGUGGCGGGCUUUAGAGAUGCAAUGGAGUGAAGAAAACUCUUAUAUGUACAUGGAGAAGAUAAAAAAAGAAUGUCCCCUAUAUGUCCAUAAUAACAAGGUAUUUAUAGCUAAGGAAUUAUUUAUCCUCUAAGCUACAAAGACAAAUUAAGGCUACAGAUUUUUGUAAAGAAAAUAUUUGACGGAAUCAAUUAGGAAGAAUCAAAGGUCACAACUUUGGAACAACAAUAACAAUUCAGUAUAUUUUUACAAAUGGAGUUUGAAAAGGGUAAUAUAAAGAGGUCGCAACUUUGGAAAGAAAGAGAUUUGAUCUAUAUAUACAAGUGUAAGACACUACUUGUAUUAGGCGUAAAAUGAAGCCGAGGGAAUCAUGGGAUUUGAUUUUGUGUUAGGCGUAAAAAAUAAAAAGACACUACUUGUUAUGGAAAUAAAAUAACCGGUGCUUUGCAAAAAAUGAGAGUUUCAUGGAAAAGAUUUUAUGGGAUUUGUUAAAUAUGUGAAAAAAUUACUUGUGAGAUUAUCCUCCAAUAAUAGAGAAUUCAUCCGUUGGUCUCCUUCUUGUAGGGGUGUGCAUUCGAAUCGGUUUAUCGAUAAAUCGAAUCGAUUAUUUGUUAUCGAAAUNNNNNNNNNNNNNNNNNNNNNNNNNNNNNNNNNNNNNNNNNNNNNNNNNNNNNNNNNNNNNNNNNNNNNNNNNNNNNNNNNNNNNNNNNNNNNNNNNNNNNNNNNNNNNNNNNNNNNNNNNNNNNNNNNNNNNNNNNNNNNNNNNNNNNNNNNNNNNNNNNNNNNNNNNNNNNNNNNNNNNNNNNNNNNNNNNNNNNNNNNNNNNNNNNNNNNNNNNNNNNNNNNNNNNNNNNNNNNNNNNNNNNNNNNNNNNNNNNNNNNNNNNNNNNNNNNNNNNNNNNNNNNNNNNNNNNNNNNNNNNNNNNNNNNNNNNNNNNNNNNNNNNNNNNNNNNNNNNNNNNNNNNNNNNNNNNNNNNNNNNNNNNNNNNNNNNNNNNNNNNNNNNNNNNNNNNNNNNNNNNNNNNNNNNNNNNNNNNNNNNNNNNNNNNNNNNNNNNNNNNNNNNNNNNNNNNNNNNNNNNNNNNNNNNNNNNNNNNNNNNNNNNNNNNNNNNNNNNNNNNNNNNNNNNNNNNNNNNNNNNNNNNNNNNNNNNNNNNNNNNNNNNNNNNNNNNNNNNNNNNNNNNNNNNNNNNNNNNNNNNNNNNNNNNNNNNNNNNNNNNNNNNNNNNNNNNNNNNNNNNNNNNNNNNNNNNNNNNNNNNNNNNNNNNNNNNNNNNNNNNNNNNNNNNNNNNNNNNNNNNNNNNNNNNNNNNNNNNNNNNNNNNNNNNNNNNNNNNNNNNNNNNNNNNNNNNNNNNNNNNNNNNNNNNNNNNNNNNNNNNNNNNNNNNNNNNNNNNNNNNNNNNNNNNNNNNNNNNNNNNNNNNNNNNNNNNNNNNNNNNNNNNNNNNNNNNNNNNNNNNNNNNNNNNNNNNNNNNNNNNNNNNNNNNNNNNNNNNNNNNNNNNNNNNNNNNNNNNNNNNNNNNNNNNNNNNNNNNNNNNNNNNNNNNNNNNNNNNNNNNNNNNNNNNNNNNNNNNNNNNNNNNNNNNNNNNNNNNNNNNNNNNNNNNNNNNNNNNNNNNNNNNNNNNNNNNNNNNNNNNNNNNNNNNNNNNNNNNNNNNNNNNNNNNNNAAAAUCGAAACCUUAUUGAAACGAUAACGAUAAGCAUAUGUACAAAUCGAUAAUCGAUAAGUAAUUAUCGAUAAGGGUCAAAAUCGAAUCGGUAAAUCGACUGCACACCCCUACCUUCUUGUUAUUACCUUUUGGCUUCAUAUUUUGAUUAUUAGAUCUUAAAAAUAAUGCCAGCGCUAUAUGACAAAAAUACUUGAAUUAUCAAGUGCAAUAAAGUACUAACUAUCAAAUAAGGUAAGUAGAUAUAAAUUACAUGAUAUUAGUGUAAAGUAAAUCAUUAAAUUCAGAUUAUGCAUAAUUUGCUACAACUUAAAUAGUAACAUGUUGCAAAUAAGAUAAUGCUUAAAUAAAUAUAUUAAGACAUAAUAAAACUUUAAAAUGAGAGGAAAUGCAAGAGUGUAAUAUUCUAAUAAUAAUAAUAAUAAUAAUAGUAACAGCAACAACAACAACACAACAAGAAUAGUAAUAGUAUUAGUUAGAAUAACAAUAACAAUAAUAAUAAUAAUUUAAAAAUAAACUUUGUAUUGUGAUAAAAAUAGGUAAAAAUAUCAUAUUUAACAUUUACAAAAAUAGAAGCUCAAAGGAAUAAAUUCGAUAGGAGGAGGGACAAAAUUGGGUGUCAACACUUGCCCUCUUUGAUCGAGAAUGAUAAAAGAGUUGUCGGGCAAAGAAAUUGACGUAGUAGCCAAUUUUGUCCGACUAGUGAGAUAGUUAUGUAAGAAUAAAGGGAAUAAGAGUUUUGAAAAAUAUUAUGGCCGAGCUCUGAUUUCUGAGCUGCAUACAUAUCUCGGGCUUUACGAGAAUCUGACCAUGUGUAGUUCUGGAUUAGGAAGGACAUUAAUCCCUAAAAAUUUGCCUCAGUAUUGAAUUAUGAUGAUACUGGAUAUUAUGAUCGUAUAAAAAUAGAAGGGUGUAUGGUGAAAAAUAGGAUUGGGAAGUAAUGUGAUUCUACGUAAGGUAAAGAUGAUUGCAAAAAUUGAGAAAGUAGAUGUACGCGGUGAAAAUGAAUAUUAUGAAGAGGAUAUAUACACAUUUUAUACUUGAAGAGAAUGUUAAUUCUAGAAAGUUACUCCGGUGUCAGAUGGCGUUGACGUUGGAAUUGAGUAAAAAUAAAAAAUGGAAAGAUAUUGGAUGCGAAAAUUGCCCCAGUUUGAUAAUAAGAACUUGUUAUGAUAUUUUGUGUUUUUCUUGUACUUGCAAACUUCGAAGUAUUGCUAUAAAUGAUAAUUAGUACGUAAGCACAUAUAAAAAUUAAUCGGAUGAAUGUAAUUUACGGAAAAGAUUUAAAAUGAUACAAAUUUCCUUUACACCAUGGAUGUUGCUUGCGGACGAUGAAAAUAAUGAUGCCCUUGAGCUAUAAUGUCUUGGGCUAUGGAGCGUAAAGUAAAGGAUUCUUGGGCACUGAAAUGGUGUUCUUACGCCAUGGAGAUGAUGCCUUCGAACUAUGACGUCUUUGAAUAAUGAUGUGCAAAAGAUUAAAAGGAGUCCUCGGGCCAUGGCAUGGCGUUCUCGGGCUAUAAAAAUAGUGCCUCCAAAUAAUGACGCCUUCGAACAAUUUGGCAAUAUUUCAGCCCAUGAGAUGCAGCUUUUGGCGAUCUUUCAGCCUAUGCAAUGCAAGAGGUGGCAAUCAUUCAGCCAUGCAAAUGUAAAUAAGGUGGUGAUCUUUCAACCAUACAAGUGGAGGUAGAGCUUAACCUCGGAAGGCAGAAUGGUAGCCUUAUGCAAUGCAAAAUGCAGAUGGAGGUAGUAACCUCGGAAGGCAGAAUGGUAGCCUUAUGCAAUGCAAGAAUGCAGAUGGAGGUAGAGCUUAACCUCGGAAGGCAGAAUAGUAGCCUCAUGCAAUGCAAAAAAUACAGAUGGAGGUAAACCUUAACCUCAGAAUGCAGAAUGAUAGCCUUAUGCAAUGCAGAAAAUGCAGAUGGAGACAACGUUUAGUCUCGGAAGGCAGAAUAGUAGCCUUAUACAUGUAAUAGAGGCAAAGUCUAGCCUCAUGCGAAGAAUGGAGGUAGAGCUUAGCCUUGUGUAAAUAAGAGAAAGCAAUUUUUAGCCUUUUGAAGAUGAAGACUUUGCGCUUUAUGGUAUAUGGACCUAUGUAGGCGGUGAUCUUCGUGCUUUGCAGUGUAUGUCUGUUGAAAAAUUCUUAACGUUGUUGUACAUAUCAUUUCUUUUUGAAGACUCUGAUGAUACUAUCCUAAAUUUUGAGGAAACUUCCUCAAAAUUUUUUCCCCAAUUUUGUUUUGAAGGGAAAUAGAGUUUUUAUAAUAAUGAGACCGAACCAAAUAAUGGGUUACAUACGUAUCCCUUUUAAACAGAAAUCAAAUAAAAACAUAGAUCGUAUUUGAAGCAUAUAGAAUCGCUAGAGAGUGCAAAAUUUAUGUAGUCAAGUAGUCCCCUGUUGAAAGUUCAGGUGGAUGCUCCAAAGGAAUUGAGUGUGACUAGAAGAUCGUCCUUAGAAAUAAAAAUUUUAGAAGAGUAUGACAGGUGGGUGGGUGGAGAUUGGUAGAUUAACACGGAUUGCUUGAGCCGUUUUGACCAUUGAGACUGUAGUUCUUGAAAAGGUCUCUAUGAUUCAACAGCUACGUGGAGAUUAUUACUAACACUUGUGAGAGUAGUUUAGAAUUGAGCAAAUAAAGUACCAGAAGCAAACACAAGGGUCUAACAUACUUGGAUUUCAAGUCUUACGGCUUGGAUGUAAAAGGCGCAAGAUGAGCAAGACAUAAGAAUGUAAUGUAUGAACACGAUUAGGCCACAUUUGGCUGCGAAGACAGAAUUGAAUUAAUUGGAUAGAGGGAAGAUUGAUGUCCUGUCUUUUAAGAGUCGCCAUGAUGUCUAUGCCCCUUUUUCUAAGAGUCAAAUUCGGGUUUAUGUAUUUUGGGAGGACAACUCUAUUCCCUUUCGAGAAUUGGAUUUUGGAGUUGGAGAGUCGCCACCUAAUGACUAUCGUGCAUUUGGACACUUUAUGAAGUGUUUGAAUUGAAAAAACCAGAAUUCGGGUAAUGGUUAGAAAUUAUCUCAAGGGGAAGGUGUUAUGUACCCCUUAAGAUCCACAAGUGUGGUUCUCGGCCACGUUACAAUUGUGACUUUGCAUAAACACAUAAGCAAUUAAAACUCAAAUAAGGAUUUUCAUACAACAUUGCAAUAAGUUGAAAACCUGUGAAGAUAAGUAGAGAGAGGACGAUUUUAUGAAAAAGAUAUAAAGAAAAUAUGAAAGCAAGUAAAGGAAGAGGGGUCCUAGGUUUACGAUUAAUUUAGAUUACGUCAAUGCAAUAUCCAUCAAUCACUCCUCAGAACUAAGCAUGCAUUCCUACCCAAUUUCACUUUAACCCCGAUUAUUCAUUACAAAUUAUUACAAACCGGGAUAACUAAAAUACAGUAAUAAAAAAUAAAAUAAGAAGUUAUUCUAUAGGGAGCCUUCAACCAGGCUCAAUCUUCCAACCUCACUUCUUUCGAGUUUCACAACCAUAGUCUGGGUGCGACAAAGCUCCCUAAGGCCCCAUUUGGUCCCUGGCCAAUACCAGCACCCAAAUAUUUACCAAAAUGUUGAACAAGUGCAGUAUGGAAUUACCAGCCUUGUGCAUCAAAGUUCAGUGAGCACUCAGGUGCUCAAAGCAAUGCUUACACUAAGGGUGUUAAACGGUCUGGAUCAGCCCGGUUCCGGACCGGUCCAGACCGGUGUCGACGCUCCCUUUUUCUAAGGCGAAAUCGGGUUUACGAAAUUAUGGACAAAAAAAAUCUCAUUCCCUUUUGAGGAAUCGGGUUAUGGAAUAUGAAGAGUCGCCACCUAAUGAUUAUAAUGCAUUAGGACACUUUAACGAAAAAACAGAGUUCGGGUAAGGGCUUGAGAUUAUCUCGAGGAAAAGGUUUUAGGCACCCCUCAAGAUCCACUAGAGUGAUUCCCGGUCAUACUUAGUUGUGACGUUAAGAAGAGUAGAAGUAAACAAACAAUGUUUGCGCAUAGGGAAUAAAAAUAAGUUGAAAGUUAUGAAAGAAAAGAGAGAAGAAAAAAGACAUAAGUGGUUUUGUAAAGAAAAAAAGACAUAAGUGGUUUUGUGAAGAAAAAGAUUAAUUGAAGAAAAUAUUAAUCACAUCAUAUAAAUAAAAAAAAUGGUCCUAGGUUUAAAUAUAAUAUGGAUCACAUCGGUGCAAUACACAGAAAUCAUUCUCACAGGAGAUAUUAGCGCACUACUCAUCAUAUACAUAUUCUACCCUUCCCACCCCGUUAAGGUAUUAAAUGCAAUUAGUCUCGUUUACUUAUUGCAUGCUAACAUCCAUCCCAACCUAUCAGUCUUGAGAUUUUAGGACUUCUAAUCCUAAGGGGGAGGCAAGGGAGUAUAGGUAUAUAUGGAGUUUCAAAAGGAUAAAAUACUAGGGCGUCAAUCAAAACAAAUAGCAGUUGAAUAGGGACUGACACAAACACACAAAGGCUCAUAUAAAACCCCGUAAAUCAUAUAGCAUUUAGUUUAGCAUGUCUUACAUGUAUUGAUUUGGAAAUGGGAAAUAAAACAAACACACAAAAGGCUCAUAAACCUCCACAAAUCACAUAGAAAUUAGUUUAGAAUGUCUUGCAUAUAGUGAUUUGUUCAUUAAAAAUUAAACGGCUGACAAAUUAGUUUAACACAUAGAGUUGGAUAAAAAAUCUGCAUUAGGCAACCCGCAUCCAAUUGUCAGACGUUGAGGUAUUUUAUAUAAAUUAUUGAUUAAGAACCUGAUGCGGGAGAGGUUAGAAUAGAAGGUUGGAAAUUACAGAAGUUCAGAGAGGUCUUGAAAAAUCCGCAAAAUUGUUUAAGUAGAAGUACGGUGGAAUUGUAAAGUAGAGUUUUCAGAAGUAAGAAUGCUUUAAAAGAAGAGUGAGUUUGAAACCUGUUUUGAAAAAGAGCUUCAUGAGACGAAUAAAAUUUAGGCAGAGAGUUGAAAAAAUGUUUCAGAAAAAGAAAAUGCAAGUUUAGAAAAUUGUAGACAAGUUUGGACGAGCUUUGUUUGAAAACGCUGAAGCCAAUGGCUAGGUUAUUACUUACACCGAUUUAGGCGAUUCGGAAACCCUAUAGGUAUAAUAUCUAUACCUUGAUUUUUUAAGACUCGUUACUGUUAUUAAAUGUUAAUAAAAUAAGUAUUUUGAUUACCCUAUGGUUUGCCUAACGUUUCACGCAUUUCCUAUAGGCAUGAUUUCUAUAUGCAAUUAGUUGAUUAGUAGGUCCUAUGGACAGGAUUUCUAAUGAUUUGCAACAUGACUGAAUAUUAAUUCCUAUAGACAGGAUUUCUAGAUGAUUAAGUUAAAAAAGUGCAAAGGCCUAUAGACAUGAUCUCUAGGUGAUUUAAAGCGUUGAACCUAUAGGCAUGAUAUCUAAGUGAUUAAGUAACAACAACCUAUUGGUAUGGUAUCUACCUUUUUGGAAUAAAGUAAACCCCUCCCAUCCUCUUCACUAAUACUUUACCCGAGUUCUUUUUACAAGAUUAGUACACAACUAGAAGAAAGAAGGCAAACAAAAAUACAUCAUAGCCUACAGCUAGAUCCGAGCAGCCUAAUUCAAUCUUAAUAUCCAAUAACAUAUAUUUCACCAAAUCCGGAUUCCAGAUGCCAAGGCCUUCGCUUAUUUAGAGUGUUUCAACGUUCCAAGGAGCCUCCAGGACCCCAGGCAAUGCUUACAUUCUGAAUAAUGAUUGUAACAGAAUAGUGAAAGAGUGGAAUUACCAGCCCUCAGGCAUCCAAGUUCAGAGGGAACUCCAGGGUCCCAAAGCAUGGCUUACCAAAGGGGGGUAGAACUUAAGAACUAAGGAUGAGUGCAAAGUGAGAGAGGAACCAUAGCAGAGGGUGGUCAUACCCAGCUAUGGCAUAGGCUGGCACACCCCUGACCCCUUGCUUAGGUCAAACAAAUAGGAGCAGACUCUGGGGAGUCAAACUUAGGGUUUGAGUGGUGAUUAGGACACUACCAGACCCAAGUUAAAGCUCAACACAUAAAGGGGAGAGGGAAUGGGAAGCAUUUGAGUAGAGACUCAGGAGAGUCUAGUUCUGGAUCAUGGUUAGCAAUAUAAAGUGCUGCCAUGGUUCAUAACGGUACUCACACACAAAAAAGGGAAUAGAGGGAAGGUAUUUCCAUACAAAAAACAUACACUAACAUUAAGGAAAAUAUAAGUAAGCAUAGUAGACUGAAGAUGCAAGGACAUAGAAGAAAGAAUAGAACAUGCUAAAGUUACGGGACAUAAACACAUGGUGAAGAAUGUGUAGAAGAAGAGAAGUGAACACACAUAGUUGGAGAGUAUUAUUUAACUAGAAAUACAUACCAGUUGUAAUUCUAGUACAACAGAGAAAUAACAGCAAGUAGACAGCCAGACAGUUAACAGGAACAACUCAAAAACUUCAGCAAGCACUUGGGAAUUCAGAGGAACUCCAGAAUAUUCAGACAGUAGGAGAGAAAGGAGUAGAGUGCUCAAUGGUAGUAGAGAAAGCAGUAGUAGAGAGAGGGAUAGUAGAGAGGGAACUGUUAUUCAGUAUUGAAGAAAAAGUAUUUUUGAUUUUCUGAAGUGUGAGGACUAUUGCAAAGGUGCAGAAAGAACUAUGUUCAGGAUUGUCUAGGGUUGAAAAGGUUGUCUCUUUUUAUAGUGCAAAAACGACUAAACAAAGGCAAGUAAAUAAAAUUCCAAUCAAUCAAAUAGGAUCUACCUUAGUCAAAGGGAUUUGAUUUCAAAUGGGAAUGAGUAAUUAAGAAAAGGAAAAUAAUGAAAACUUUUUUAGAAUAGCAUAAUAAGGGUAAGUUCACAGGGUCUAUUUAAGGUAAGAAGCCUAUUGUACACGGUUUAGAAAGAACAAAGAAAUAAAGUAAUCAAACAGUUGAAAAUUUAAAAGUCUUGAAUGAACUUAGUCAGGAAAAGAGGUGAAGAGGUUAAGUUGCAAAAAUAAUUAGCAAAUCAAUCGAGCCUUAGUAAAAGGAGAUUGAAAUAAAUCAUAAUCUAACAGAAUUAGUUCAGAGGGAAAUCCUUGCAUAUAAAGCAUACCAGUGUCAAUCAAGAAAGAAAAUAUCGGCAUAAACAGUUUCAAAAUCAAAAGCUAAAAGCAAGUUUCAUUUCAGUUUAUAAACUCAGAAUGAUUUUGUGGGCCUAGGGUUUCCAGAGUAGAACCCUAGAAUCAAAACUCGCAAAAAAUCCCAGACACUUGGUUUCAGUUCGAGUAGGACAAUAAGCUUAGGGAACUCUUUCAGGGUUCCUUGAGAAAACAAACACACGUAGAAAAUCAGAAGCAGUAAGGUGAAAAAAUUGUAAAGAACAAGUUUAAGAGAAAGCUUAGAACUCAAGUGAAGUCAGAAGAGAGAAGAGAUGCAUAGAAUUUUAGGAAACGGUAAAAGAAACAAGUUUAGAAACCAAACGAACUCAUUAAAGGCAAACAAUCUCAGUAGGAGAAACAGCAAAGGACAUGCAAGAUAAACACGUAAAUCAUACUUGUAGAAACCAAUAGAAGAGAUAACGGAGUAAAGAUAAAGACACAUGCAUAUUAACGGCAAAUCAUAAGAAUGAACGAAAACACAUAAGAUAUGGCAUGGACACACAGAUUCACAUAAAGAAAGAAGAAGAAGAAGAAGAAGAAGAGGAAUCCUUUUAGGAUUUUUCAAAACCCUAAUUUUGAGUAGAGUAAUUUUAAAAGGAAAAUUGGAGAAAAGCAUUAAAACAUCAAGUGGAACACAGAUCUGUUACAGAUAUAAGAAAAUAAGGGAAGAAAAACCUCGAGAAAGCUCUUUAGGGUUUUUUAGAAAUCCUAGAAACGAGAAGACAUGGAAUGAUCUGGUCCUUGAACAAGUCUAGGCCAUGGCUAAGCCUUGUCAAAGCUCGAACAUGCCGGAACGGAGCCGGAGAGGCCAAGGGAUCUCAGAUCGGCGGAGGAUCUGAACAGGUCUGGUUAAGGCUGGAAUUUGAAGACCUUGGAUACCCACGAUUUUGGGUGAGGGGAAGUGAGCACAGGUUGUCCAUAGCCUAAGAAGCCAUGGACUCCGGUGAGAACUGGUCAGAGACAACGAUAUAGGCAGCUAGGGUUUCGAGUGUUAGAGAGAAUGUGAGAGAUGAGGGAAUUUGGGGCGGCUGCUUUGUUGGAAAUGAUUUAGGGUUUGUGGGUUUGGGAAUUAAAAAUGGUAAGUGUGAACGAGGGCCGUUGAUUAAAACAAUCAACGACCAAGAGUUAAAAUGGGAAGCGGACGGGUUAGUCAACGGGUUUGGGGCGGGUUGAAAUUAAAAUUGGGUAGUUAAUUAAGGGGUUGAAAUUGGGGUUAAUUAAGGGUGUAAUUUGGGCUAGAUUUGAAACAAAAGGGGCCAACUUUUAAAUAGCUUUUUUUUCCUAUUUUAAUUAAUAAAAAUAGCUAAAAAUAAUAUAAAAAUAAAUUGAAAACACAUAUCUAACUAAUAAUAUAUAAAUACUAAUUCAAAAAUACCAUAAAUGAUUUUAUAAUUAUAAAAUGCGGUUAAUAGUAACAUAGGCUAUAAUUGCAAUUUCAUGCAAUUUAGCUUUAAUAAUUCCAAACAAAUUUGUUAAAAAUAUACAAAUAUCAUAUUAGUUAUAUUUUUUGUAAAUAUGAGAAUGAAAUGAUAAUUUGGGAAUAAUUUUGGAUUCUUUACUGUUAAAAAUAGAUAAUAAAUCAAUUCUAAAAAUCCUUAAAAAUUGAGGGAAAAAAAUACCAAAACCUUUGGGAAUGUUUAUAUAUGCAUAAAUAUAAUAUUUUGAAAAUAUUUGAGUAUAUAUAAAAAUAUAUAUAUGAAAGAAUUUGGUAUCAACAACUGCCCCUCUUUACCCGAGGAGUAUGAAAGAGUUGUCGGGUAAACAUAAGAUGGCCUAUUUUGACCGGAAAUAGCGAUUGUAAGAGAAUUUUGACCGUGCUCUGGUUUUUGAGCUGUCUAUAUAUCCCUGAUUUUAUAGGAGUCAAGCCAUAUGUAGUUCAGGAAGCAAUGAUAGAGAUUAGAAAAGACGGACGUAAUGGUCUAGUUUAAGAAAGGUUUUGAAGUCGAACAAGUUGCGAAGAACCGGAGCGGGAGCGCUCCUGCUGAGACGGCCCUUUGUUAGCUGUGUACUUAUAAAUGAGCAAUGUGCGCAUAUGUUGUGCAUAUUGUAAAUGUGAUGCAUGUUCCCAUUGGACCAUGAAUGUUGUCUUGGACGGUUAGGAUGACGUCCUCGGACUAUAAUGUCCUGGGCCGUGAAGAGCAUAAAAGUAAAGAUUCGCAGGCCAUGAAAUAGUAUUCUCGGGCUAUGCAGAUGGUGCCUCCGAACUAUGACGCCUUUGAAAAAGUUAGUGAUCUUUCAGCCUAUGAAAAGGUGGCACUCUUUCAGCCAAAUGAAUGCAAAAUGAUGGCGAUCUUUCUGCUAGAGCGAGAAUUUAAAAUAUAGGUGGCGAUAUUUCAGCCGAAGUGAAAAUUUAGAUGUAGGUGGCGAUAUUUCAGCCGAAAUGAGAAUUUAAAUGCAGGUGGCAAUAUUUCAGCCAUGCAGGAUAGAGACAAUGCUUUGUCUCAAAAGGCAGAUUGAGCCUUAUGCGACGCAGAUGGAGACAAUGCUUAAGAUAAAGCCUUAUGCGACGCAGAUGGAGACAAUGCUUUGUCUCAAGAGGCAUAUAAGUAGCCUUAUGCAAUAUGGAGGUAGAUCUUAACCUCGGAAGGCAGAGAAUAGCCUUAUUCAAAAUGCAGGAUAGAGACAGAGCUUAGUCUCGAAAGGCAGAAAGGUAGCCUUAUGCAAAAAAUGCAGAUGGAGACAAUGCUUAGUCUCGAAAGGAAUAUAAGUAGCCUUAUGCAGGAGGGAGGUAGAGCUUAACCUCGAAAGGUAGAAAAUAGCCUUAUGCAAAAUGCAGAUGGAGACAGAACUUAGUCUCAAAAGGCAGAUAAGUAGCGUUAUGUAGGAGGGAGGUAGAGCUUUACCUCGGAAGAUAGAAAAUAGCCUUAUGCAAAAUGUAGAUGGAGACAGAGCUUAGUAUUAAAAGGCAGAUACGUAGCCUUAUGCAAGAGGGAGGUAGAGCUUAACCUCAGAAGGUAGAAAAUAGCCUUAGGAAUGUAAAGAAAAGAAUAGUAGUAAGUUCUCUUAGCUGAUAGAUGAUUAUGAUAUCGUGACUGCUGGGGAUGUUGGGUGUAGAUAGUAAAUUUGUAAAUGAGCGAUCAUUCUUCAAUCUUAUAGAGUACGAGUGUGUGGAUGUAUUCAAAAAAUCGUGAGUUCUGUAGAGGGAAAAGGUUAGUUCGUAUCCCCUGGCUCUUGAUGUCACGUAUCCUUGGAGUAGCGUUGCUAAAAAACAGCGAUGUGAAUGAUAUUUAUGCAUUAUUCGGUAAAUGUAAUGUAAAUAUAAAUUUGAAAAAUGGUUUCAUUUUGGAUGAACCAACAACUGCAACGUGGUUCAAAACAUGGCAACCUGUUCGUUCUGAAAUUUUGAGGGUCCUCCUCAAAAUUCUGCUCCGGUUUAUUGGGCUGGCGCUGCUAACGGCUGUGAUGAAUGACUAAACAUGGAUUGAUUCCAUAAUUUUGAGGACCCCUCUCAAAAUUCUUGCAUAGUUUACUGGGUUGAUUCUGAUGAGGAGACUGACAAAUUGACUUCGGAUUUUGAGGGCCCUCCUCAAAAUUCUACCCCAGUUCCAAUAUCAAGUGAAAAUGAAAUUUUUAUUAAUGUGUGACCGAACCCAUAUAGCUGUCUAUGUAUCCCCUCUUAAACGGGAAUCAGGUCAGGCGUAGUUCAAAUCACAUCAUGAAGAAACAUGUGAUCAAAUAUAGUAUCGCUUCACUGCAUCUGAGUUGAUUGUCUUCGGCCAAACUUCUCCAUCCAUUUCUGCAAGAAUGAGGUUCCUCCAGUUAAAACCUGGUGAACCAUGUACGGACCUUGCCAUUUGGGAGAUAAUUUUCCCCUUAGCUUCAUCUUGACGUGGAAAUAUUUUCUUUAACACCAGCUGCCCUGGUGUAAACUUCCUUGGUUUAAUUCUUUUGUUGAAGGCUCUGGACAUUCUGUUCUGAUAUAACUGAUUGUGGCAAACUGCAUUUUUUAUUUUUCCAUCUAUAAGGGCUAACUAUAGCGAAUUUUUACCCAUUCAGCGUCAUCUAACUCCGAUUCUUAUAUGAUCCUCAAAGAGGGAAUUUUUACCUCAGCAGGAACGGCUGCCUCUGUACCAUAAACCAGCAUGUAGAGAGUUGCCCCUUUUGACGUGCAGACUGUGGUGCGGUAUCCCAAUAAGGCAAAUGCCAACUUCUUAUGCCAUUACUUGUGCCUUUCUAUCAUCUUCCUGGAUUUUUAAACUCAUGUCAGGUUUGAACUUUCUGAGCUUCUGUUUUACCAGUGGACAUGUUGGAUCUGUUGGUAAUUUGUGAUAUGAUGGAUGUACUAAGACCAGUCAUCUCAUCAUACGACCAUGCGAAGAUGUCCUCAUAUUCUUUUAGAAACUCUGUGUACUUCUCCUUUUCUGAUGGCGACAAGUGGACACUGAUACACAUUUCCUUGACAUUCUCUGUAUCUCUAAAAUUAACGACCUCAGUCUCAUCCAGGUUAGACUUGGGCCUAUUCUUAAAAUUCUCGACCUCUCUGACGAUCUCUUCUGGUAUAUCAUCCUCUUCUGAAUCUAUAUCCGUUUGUUGCAUUGUCUCGUUGCAAGUCACUAUCGUUGGUUCAUCAUCAAGAUAGGUAAUAGUAAUGCCAUGUAAAUAAAGUAAACGAUAGAGAAAAAUAAUAAGAGCGAGAUAUAUAAUGAACUAAAAAUCCUUUGAUUAAAUUCAUAAUUGUUUGGAACCUCGAAGCUCUUUUUAGAAUUAAAGACGGUGCGGAAAGAAAAAUCAACUAGUAAAAAGUAAAAUGAUAUUCAUGGUUUGUUGGUUCACCAUCAAGAUAGGUAAUAGUAAUUAUGUGUAAAUAAAGUAAGUGAUAUAUAAUAAACUAAAAAUACAUUGAUUAAAUUCAUAAUAGUUUGGAACAUCGGAACUCUUUUCAAAAGUAAAGACAGUGCGGAAAGAAAAAAUUAACUAGUAAAAAGUAAAGAUGUGAUGCAUGGUGCUUUAUUACCCUUGCUACCCCGAAGCUUUCCAGGCCCUGGUGGUCCUGAUUGACCAAUCAGUGUGGCAUUCCCCUGAUUCACAGCUUGUAUGGAAAGGGGCUUCCUCCCCUUCCUCCUCGAAGAUAACACAACAAUCCAUAUCAUCCUCCAGAAACAGGUUGUUCAUUGUCGCCAGUGCCUCGUCUUCCUCUAAUCCAUAUAUAAUGUCAACUGGCUAUAAGGUCUACUCCAGCUAAGGUAUAGGGUAUUCCAAUGGAUAGUAGGGACCGCACCAUGGUGGCGACCAAUGGUUGAACUCCUCCCAGGUGUACUCAUACCCCAAGCCAAAAGUGGUACCAUGUUUCUUCAACUUCAUGGGCUUGGUGAUGCCCUGGAGAUUUUUGCCAAGUAUUUUUCCGAGCUCAUACCCGCUCUAAUUUAGAAUUCUCUCAAUUUGGUUAUCCCACCACUUGUCUUUGUCUAUGGCAUUGACUGGCUCAAUGUGGUGGUAUGUUUCUCCACCUAUUCUCCUUCUACCUCCGAUCAUCGGGAUGGUUUGGCGGCUAAGUAUAGGGUUGCUACCGUUUCCAUGGAUGAUCACAUCCUACGAUUCUAUUCAAAUUUCACAGCCUGAUGUAAGGUUGAUGCCAAAACCCCAAUGGUGUGGAUCCAGGGUCUCCCCAGCAAUAAAUUGUAAGAUGUCGGCACGUCUAUAACUUGGAAGUCCACAUCGAACCAAGUAGGUCUCAUCUGCAAGCACAUACUAAUCUCUCCAAUGGUGGAUCUUUGAGACCCAUCAAAAGCCUUAAUGUUGAUAGCUCCAUCUAUGAUCUGGUGCAAACCCUUACCCAAUGUCCUGAGGGUUAUUAGAGGACAUAGGUUAAGGCUGGAUCCCCGGUCGACUAGGAUCCUGGUGAUGAAAUAAACUUUGUACGACAAUGAUGUGCAAUGCCUUGUUGUGACGAAGCCCUUCUGGUGGUAACUCAUCCUCGUGGAAGGUGAACUUGUGGCUUUCCAGUACCUCCCCUACCAUAUUCGCCAUUUCGCCUCCUGUUAUGUUGCUGGGAAUAUAAGCUUCACUCAAUAUUUUCAUUAAGACAUUUUUAUGUGCCUCAGAGCAUUGCAGAGGAGCCAGGAUAGAAAUUUAUGCUGGUGUUUUGUUCAGUUGCUCAACGAUUAAGUACUCUUUGGCUUGUAUCUUCCUCCAAAGGUCAUCGGGUCAUGUUUCAAGAGCUCGUCCAGAGGCUUUCUUGCUGGACUCAACUAAAUGUUCUGGGGGUGUGUAUACCCUGCCUGUCCUGGUCAUGCCCUGUGCGGCAAUCGCGUCUCCAAUAUAUGUUUUCCCUUUCCUUUUAGCCUCGAAUGUGUAAUCCCAAGGUAUGGCGUUCGACUUGAAUGGGGUCACAUCUAUCAUGGAAACUGAAAUAGGCAGCCUCGGGGGUAACACAACAACUUUAAAUGGUGCAAUUGCUUUUGGGACCCUGAACUCAACCUCGAUUGGUUUUGGCUCCUUUGUAGGAGGCACUUCUAACUCGAGUGGCACAAACAUAUUUACCACAUCGCUCUCAUAGGGCUGGAUCUGAACAACAAUGGGAUUGAGGGUAACCGCCUUCUUCUUAGGUUAUCUCCUUCAAAAAUUAGUCCAAUUGACCCUUUGGGGUCCCAAUCAUCCUCAAUCUCGAUCACAUGGAUGCCCCCGCCCUUGUGGUCAGGUAGAGGGCUGUUGUGAACAUUGGGAGCGGGCUCUUUUGCUAUAAUGAUCUUGUUAUCAAUCAAAGUCUGAAUCUUGUCUUUCAAUGAGCGACACUCGUAGAUGGUAUGAACUUUCAUUCUAGAAUGGUAUGCGCAGGUUUUGUUGGGAUUGAUCCAUUGGGAAGGAUUUUUUGAAGUUAUGGCUGGAUAGAUGAAAUGUAACCGGCUACUUUGAGUUUUUCCUAUAAUUGGUCAAUUGGCUCGGCUUUGGCGAUAUACUGGCUAGGAGGUCUUUGGUAGAAAUUUGGUCUAGGUCAAGGAAAGUUUUGGCGAGUGGGUAGUAUGGGUAAUGAGAAGGUUGGGAGUUGUAUGCUUGGUACACAGGCAUGGCUUAGGGAUAUCUUGGUGAAGUGGGUUGAUAGAUGGGUGGUGAAGGUGAUUGGUAGGCAGAUGGUGGCAUUUGGUAUGUAGGUGAGGGUGCAUGGUAAUUCAUGGUAGGUUGAUUUGUGAGAUGAUUUGAGGGAUAGAUUUGGUACUUUAUAGGGGAUUUGAUUCUUUGCGUAGCCAUUACAUAAUUUACUUCCUUUUUCUUUGACGAGCCACCAGAUUGUAAGGCCUUGUUGGGUGCCUGCAAUGCCUCGAGAUUGGUGACCAUACCAUUCUUGAUACCUUCUUUGAUUCUUUUUCCCAGUUUGAUGAUGUUGGAGAACUUCUGACCCUCUAUUAGCAUCAGCCUUUCAUAGUAUGUAGGAUCCUGAGCCCGGACAAAGAACCUGUUCAUCUGCUCUUCCUCCAAGGCCGGCCUGACCUUAGCAGCUUCUGACCUCCAAUGAGUAGCAUACUCGUGAAAUGUUUCUGUGGGUUUCUUCUUUAGAUUUCGUAUAUAGAAAACAUCUGGUGCAUUCUCAGUGUUGAACCUGAAUCGGUCCAUAAAGUCAAAUUCCCUGUUCACCCAACUUGUCCAUUUCUUUACAUGCUGGCUGAUAUACCAUGAUAAAGCAUUGCCUUUCAGACUCCUCAUGAACAGCUUCAUGCAAAUUUUUUUGUCCCUUCCUAUUCCUACCAGCUUCUCACAAUACAUCCUCAGGUGGACCCUAGGAUCACCUGUUCCGUCGAACAUCUCGAACUUGGGAGAUUUGUACCCCUACGGGAGCUCAACAUCUCGCUGAACACAAAGAUCUUCAUAGUUCAAACUCUCAAUGCCUUUGCUACCUCCGACACCUUGGACUUGUCGACGCCCCUUUUUCCCCCCCUAAAAGGGCAAAAUUGCAUUUACGACAUUAUAGACAAAACAACUCUUAUUCCCUUUUAGGAAUUGGAUUAUGGAGUUUGAAGAGUCGCCACCUAAUGAUUAUAGUGCACUAGGAUACUUUUAAGAAGAAGAAGAUUUUGAAUGAAAAUCAGAGUUCGGGUAAGGGCUUAAAAUUAUCUCGAGAGGAAGGUGUUAGUUACACCUCAAGAUCCACUAGUGUGGUUCCCGGCCUUACUUAGAUGUGACUUUAUAGAAAUAGACAAGCAAAUGUGCAUAUAAAGAAAAAAAACUAGUGGGCAAUUUUGAAAGAAGAAUAGUACAAGUAAAAUGGAAGUUUCAGAGAAAUUAUUCAAACAAAAAAGUAAAACUAAGGGGGGUUCCUAGGUUUAACUAUAAUAUGGAUCAUUCGACCCAACAUUCCGCACAUAUUCCCAAAGAGGGGUCGCUUUAUGAUAUUAUCGCAUCGUCAUUAUCUCCAUAUUCUGCCCUUCCUACCCAGUUAAGGUAUUUAAACGUGUUUAGUCUCGUUUACUUAUUGCAUGCUAAUACCCAUCCAACCUAUUAGUCCCGGGGUAUUAGGACUCCUAAUCCUAAAAAGGGGGAAGAAGGAUAAGGAAUAUAUGGAGUUUCAAAGGUAAAAAUGCUAAGGCGUCAUUCAAAACAGAUAGCACAUAAGGAUAUACAAAUCAGACACUCAAAGGCUCAUGCAAAACCCCACAAAUCACAACACCAUUUAGUUUAGCAUGACUUGCAAUUACUGAUUUGGUCUUAAGCUUAAAGUUGAUAAUGGAUAGAUUAGUUUAACACAUAAAGUUGGAUAAUAAGUCUACUUUGAGCCCCUCGGAUCCGGUUUGUUGAAACUUAAAGUAUUUUUGGAAAUCAGUAAUUUCAUAAAACGAUAAUUUGAAACACGAAUUUGGGAUUCGCAGAAGUUCCGAAAUGGCUUAUAAAAUUGCUGAACUGCUUUAAGUAAAAUGGUUCAAGAAAAAAAGCAUUGAAAUGCAGAAAAUCAAAAAAGGAAAGGUUGAUUUUAGACAAAUGCAGGUUUGGAAUUUAAAAGAUCCUUAUGGGUUUAAAAAUAGCGUAGAAGGCAGAUUUGGUCGGAUUUCAAAAUAGACAGUAUUGGACAAAUUCUUUUAUUGAAGGCGUCUAAAACAUUAGGCGAGUUUGAAUGCUACAGGCAUGACAUCUACAGAUGGAUUUGUUGUUUCUUUUAAACGUUUAGGGGACCUACUGUUUGCCUAGUGUUUUUAUAUAGUCUUUAUAGACAUGAUUUCUAUAUGCACUUUAUUACGUAAUGUUAAAGACUUAUGGGCUGGAUUUCAAGAUGCAAUAUUAAGAUCCUACAGGCAUGAUUUCUAGGUGAUUUGCGAUAUAAAAAUGCUAUAGACAUGAUUUUUAGGUGAGAUACAAUAUUGAAAUCCUAUAGGCAUGAUUUCUAUUAUGCUUGAAAUAUAAAAAUCCUAUAGGCAUGAUUUCUAUAUGAUUAGCAAUAUAUAAAAAAUCCUAUAGGCAUGGCUUCUAUAUGAUUAGCAAUAAAAUAAAACAUCUCCCACACCCUUUUCACUAUAUUCCCAAAUUCUUUUUACAAAGCUUGUUACAUAAAUGGAGAAAAAAGACUAAGGAAAUAAGUACAUCAAAGCUAAAACGGACCCGAGGAAGCUCAAAGCAACCUUAAUGAGCAACAUAUUUAUUUUACCAAAUCCGGCGUCCGGAUUUCGAGGCCUUCUCUUAGAGUGUUUCAAAGUUUCAAGGUCUUUAAGGAAGCCCAGACAAUGCUUACACCCUAAAAUAAUGAUUAGAGUAGUGCAAGGUGUAGAAUUACCAGCCCUUAGGUAUCCAAGUUCAGAGGGAACUCAAGGUUCCCUAAGCAUGGCUUACCAGAGGGGGUAGGACUUAAAGAACUAAAAGUUAGUGUACAGUGAGAGAUUAGACGAAGACCAAUGUAAAAUGUGGUCAUAUCUAGCCAUGAACAGGGCUGGCACACCCCUGACCUUUUACAUGGCUUAAACAAAUAAGAGCAGACUUGAAAUAAGUCAGACUUAGGCCUGUGUGAUGAUUAGGAUAUCAAUAGACUGGUCAUAUCUAGCCAUGAACAGGGCUGGCACACCCCUGACCUUUUACAUGGCUUAAACAAAUAAGAGCAGACUUGAAAUAAGUCAGAAUUAGGCCCGUAUGAUGAUUAGGACAUCAACAACCCUGGGUCAAGCUCAACACAAAAAUGGGGGUAAGGCAAUGGGACUGAUUUGAGUAGAGGUUUAGAACAACCUGGUUCUGAACUAAACGUUGCAAUAGAGUACCACUCUAGUAAAAAAACAAUACUCACAUACAAAAGUGGGUCAUGGAAAGGGACCAAAUAUGAAAGCAUUUGCAUAAGAACAGAAACAAAGUCAAACAGAAGUAGACUAAAUACAUAGAAGUUUUAAAUUAAGGGAAGAAAUUUUGAAAUAUAUGGAUAAACAAAUAUGGUAAAAACUAGUCAGUACCAAGUAAGUCAAGAAAUCAAAGAUUUGCAAAUAAGGAAAAGGUUUUACCUAGGGGGAAUCAGUAGCAAUCAAUCAACCCGAAAACAAAAGGGAUUCUGAUUUAAACAUAAAUUGAAAACCUUUUUAAAGAAAGAUAACACAUAUAAAAAGAGGUUGUCAUGCUAAUCAGAGGGAUCUAGUAUAGAUAAAUCAUACACAAAAAGGAUUCAAACUUAGUACGUGGGUUCACAGUGAGUCUGAGAGAGUCCAGGGCACAAAAAGAACCCUAGUCCAAACACACAAAGCAACAUUCGUCAAAAACCCCCAAAAUCUUAGAGUUUUUUACUUGAAUCGAAUGCAGAGAAGAUUAAGCAAGCAGAUACAGUAGGAGUUUUAAUGCAAACAGAGUAAAAUACAACGGGAUUAGGAUAAACAGUAAAGGAAAACCCGCUUAAGUAUGCAUAGCAAGAACAUAUAAUGAACAUGGUUGAAAAAUGCAGUAGACGAAUCAAAUCAGGUCAUAGUGGAAGGCAAAUAGCAGAACAUAGCAUAAAAACAUGGCAUAGAAACAUAGUGUGUGAGAACAGAAAACAUAGAAUAAGAACCACAUAAGAAUAUAAAACAUACAGAAGAAGAAGAGUCAGAAAACAUUUAAGCACUUCAUAGAAAACCCUAAACCAGAAAGAGGUGAUUUUGAAAGAAAAGGAAUUUUAUAAAGGAAAAUUUGGAGAAACCCUUUAAAAACUCAAAGUAAAGCAAGAAUACACACAUAUUUUGAAGAGAAACGGAGAAAAAACUCGAGCAGCUAGGAUUUCAGACGAACCCUAGAUUGAGAAAGGCCUAGAAAAUGUCCGAUCUAAGUCAGAUAAGGCUGGAGGCAGGAUCAUGAGGCUAAGAUAUGACGGAGCCAAGCCAAAGAUGGCCGGAAACCAUAAGUCAGCGGAGGUAUGGGUGGAGACCUUUGAGGUCUAUCCUCAAACCCUCGAGCACCGGGUACACAGGAACGAUGAGAGAUGAACAUAGAUCAUCCAUGGCCUGGGAAGCCAUGGAUUCAGGUGAGUUAGAGGUCAAAAAGGGGGAGAAGGUGAUUAGGAUUUCAAGAACACUCGACCGAGUUUGAGAAGGGGAGGGAUUCAGAGGCGGCUCUAAAGUGCAAAUGAGGGGGAUUAGGGUUUGUUAGGGGUUUAAUUAAGGCAAGGCAAUCAUGGACCUUUGGUUAAAACAAUCAGCAACCACGAUUCAAAAUAGGGGUCCGGGCGGGUUAGUUUGAUUAGAUAUAGGUAUGGUUAUUUAAUGAAUUGGGUAGUGUAACUGAUGUUGGGAAUUAGGCUACAAUGUUUAAUUAAGGCAAGGCAAUUAUGGACCGUUUAUUAAUACAAUCAACGAGCACGAUAAAAAAUAGGGGUCCGGGCGGGUUAGUUCGAUUAGGAUAGACGUCGGUUUAUAUAAUGAAUUGGGUAGUGUAAUUGGGGUUGGGAAUUAGGCUACAGUUGAAAUUAAAAGAGCUAUAAUUUAAAUAGCCAAUUUUUCCUAAUUGGAAUUUAAUAAAACAGCAAACGAUGUUUAAAAAUCCAAUUAAUAAUAUUGAGGUAAUAAAAAAUGCAUAUGUAUUAAUUUAAAAAUAUUAAAAAUAAUUUUAUGGUUAAAAAAUACUAUUAAAUCGAGAAAUAGUCUAAAACUUUAAUUUCAUGCAAUUUUAGUUUAGAAAUACCAAAUGAGCUUGUAAAAUUAUGUAAAUUCUAUUUUUGUAUAUAAGAGAGAAUAAAAUAAAUUAUUUACCAAAAUAACAAAUGUUGAGAAUAAUUAUUGAAUUUUAUAUUGCAAAAAUAAGUCAUAAAUUAAUUUAAAAAAUCUUUAAAAAUGUGGAAAAAUACUAAAACCUUUGUGGAUGCUUAUAUAUGCUAUUUUUUAUAAUGAUUUGAGUAUAAAAUAUAUAGAGAAAAUUGGGUAUCAACAGCUGCCCCUCUUUACCCGAGGAGGAUGAAAGAGUUGUCGAGUAAANNNNNNNNNNNNNNNNNNNNNNNNNNNNNNNNNNNNNNNNNNNAUAUAGAGGAUGAAAGAGUUGUCGAGUAAAGAUAAGAUGGUCAAUUUUGACCGGAAAUGGAGAUCGUAAAGAGAUAUUGACCGCGCUUUGAUCUCUGAGCUGCCUACAUAUCCCUGGUUUUACAUGAAUCAGGCUAUAUCUAGUUUAGGAGUCAUUGACGGAACAUGCCGAUGGGAAUUUGGGAGGACGAACGUGAUGGUUAGAUCUGUUUAAGUGCUUAGAAUUGGACAAACUGCGGAGAGUUGAAGCGGGAUUGCUCCUGCUGAGACUGUGAGCUAACCGGAACAUCUGCAAUUGGGCGAUGUGCAAACAUUUUGCAUAAUUUAAACGUGAUGUAAGCUCCCAUUGAACUAUGAAUGUUUGUCCUUGGACGGUUAAGAUGAUGUCCUUAGACCAUGAUGUCAUGGGGCAUGAAAAGCAUAAAAGUAAAGGUAUGUAGGCCAUGGAAUGAUGUUCUUGGGCUAUGCAGAUAGUGCCUUCGAACUAUGACGCCUUUGAACGAGUUGGCGAUCUUUCAACCAAUGAGAAGGUGGCAAUCUUUCAGCCGAAUGAAUGCAAAGGGUGGCGAUCUUUCUGCCAGAGCGAGAAAUUAAAACAGAUGGUAGACGGAUGAGAAUUUCAAAUGCAGGUGGUGAUGUUUCAGCCAGUUAAAAAAUAGAGCGGCGAUAUUUCAGCCAUGCGGGGCGGAGACAAUGCUUAGUCUCAAAAGGCAGAUAUGAGCCAUAUGAAAUAUGGAAGUAGAGCUUAACCUCGGAAGGGAGAGAGUAGCCUCAUGCAGAAUGGAAAUGGAGACAGUGCUUAGUCUCUAAUGGCAUAUAAGAGCCUUAUGCAAUAUGGAGGUAGAGCUUAACUUCAGAAGGCAGAGAGUAGCCUAAUGCAAAAUGCAGAUGGAGACAAAGCUUAGUCUCGAAAGGCAGAUAUGAGCCAUAUGAAAUGUGGAGGUAGAGCUUAACCUCGGAAGGUAGAGAGUAGCCUUAUGAUAAAUGCAGAUGGAGACAGAGCUUAGUCUCGAAUGGGAGCUAAGAGCCUUAUGCAAUGUGGAGGUAGAGCUUAUCCUCGGAAGGCAGAGAUUAGCCUUACGCAAAAUGCAGAUGGGAACAGAGCUUAGUCUCGAAAGGAAGAUAAGAGCUUUAUGCAAUGUAGAUGUAGAGAUUAACCUCGGAAGGCAGAGAUUAGCCUUAUGCAAAAUGCAGAUGGAGAUAGAGCUUAGUCUCGAAAGGCAGAGAAGAGCCUUAUGCAAUGCAGGAAUGUAAAUGAGCGAACAACAGUAAGUUUUCUUAGCUGGUAGACGAUUUUGCAAUAUUAGAACUAUUGGGGAGUGCAGAUAGUGACCAUAUGAGGGUUUCGAUCCUGAAAAGCGAAUGUGCUUCGAUCUGUAACCCGAAUUUCUGCAUCCAAAGAAACAUCGUGAGUUCGGUAAAGAGGGUGGUUAGUUCGUAUCCUCCAGCCUUUGGCGUCGUAUAUCAUGGGGGUAGCGUUGCUAACAGAAGGUGGUGCAAGUGAUGUUUAUGCAUGACUUAGUAAAUAUAUAUAAAAAAUGCUUUUAUUUUGGAUGAACCAAUGAACUGCAACGUGGUUCAAGACACGGCGACCUUGCUUGCUUUGGAAUUUUGAGGGCCCUCCUCAAAAUUCUGCCCCAUUUUACUGGGCUGGCGCUGCUAACGGCUGUGCUGAAUGACUCAACGCGAAAUAAUUUCACAAUUUUGAGUCCCCUCCUCAAAAUUAUGCCCAUGUUUACUGGGUCGAUGCUGAUGCAGAGACUGAAAAAUUGACUUCGGAAUUUUGAGGGACCUCUUCAAAAUUCUGCCCUAGUUCCAAUAGUAGGGGAAAAUGGAAUUUUUAUUAAAAUGUGACUGAACCCAUAGGGCUGCCUAUGUAUCCCUUCUUAAAUGGGAAUCAGGUCAGGCGUAGUUCAAACUACAUCAUAAAAGAAAGCAUGUGAUCAAAUGUAGUAUCGUUUAACUGUCUUAGUUGAUAGGCUUCGACCAGAUUUCUCCGUCCAUUUCUACGAGAAUAAGGGUUCCUCCAGUUAGAACCCGGUUAAGCAUGUACGGACCCUGCCAAUUGGGAGAGAAUUUCCCUUUGGCUUCAUCUUGAUACGAAAAUAUUUUCCUCAGUACCAGUUGUUCUAGUGUGAACUUCCUUGGCUUGACUCUCUUGUUGAAGGUCCUGGACAUCCUAUUCCAAUAUAAUUGACCGUGACAGACAGCAUUCAUUCUCUUCCCGUCGAUGAGGGCUAACUGCUCGCAGCAACUUUUGACCCAUUACGCAUCAUCUAAUUCUGCUUCUUGCAUGACCCUUAAGGAUGAAAUUUCUACCUCAGCGGGAAUGACAUCCUCUGUACCAUAAACCAACAUGUAAGGAGCGGCUCCGGUUGAUGUGCGGACCGUGGUACGGUAACCCAAUAAAGCGAAAGACAUUUUCUCAUGCCACUGCUUGUGCUUUUCAAUCAUUUUCCUUAGUAUCUUCUUGAUGUUCUUAUUGGAUGCUUCUACAGCUCCAUUCAUCUGAGGUCUGUAAGCCGUAGAGUUCUUGUGUCUGAUCUUGAAUGUUUUACACAUUGCUUUCAUCAGGUCGCUGUUGAGGUUAGAGCCGUUGUCGGUGAUGAUUGAUUCUCGAACCCCGAACCGACAAACCAUAUGAUCUCGGACAAAAUCUGUAACUACUUUCUUGGUGACUUCCUUGUAUGAUGCUGCUUCAACCUAUUUGGUAAAGUAAUCAAUUGCCACUAGUAUGAACCUGUGCCCGUUGGAUGCGGCUAGUUCGAUUGGUCCAAUGACAUCCAUACCCCUAGUGGCGAACAACCAUGGUGAGCUUGUCACAGUAAGAUCGUCUGGAGGCACCUUUAUCAUAUUUGCAUGUAUUUGGCAUCGGUGGCAUUUUGGACGUACUGAAUACAGUCCGUCUCCAUAGUCAUCCAAAAAUACCCUGCUCGGAGUAUCUUUUUUGCCAAAACGAAACCAUUCAUUUGCGGUCCACAAGUCCCUACGUGCACUUCCUCCAAUAGUCUGGUUGCUUCUUUUGCUUCGACACACCUUAAUAAUCCCAAAUCAGGAGUCCUCCUAUGCAGGAUCCUCCGCUGUGAAAAAAAUUGUUAGACAAUCUCUGAAGUGUUCGUUUCUGAGUAGCAUUGGCAAGCUCUGGGUAUUCUCCUGUCGUCAAAUAUUCCCUGAUAUCAUAGAACCAAGAUCUCCUGUCAGCUUCUUCCUCGACAUGAGCACAAUAAGCUGGUUGGUCGUAAAUCUUGAUCGGGAUGGGAUCAAUAAAGUUUGUAUCUAGAUGAUGGAUCAUGAAGGAUAAAGUGGUUAAGGCAUCGGCGAACUCAUUCUGUGUUCUGGGAACAUGCUGGAAUUCCGUCUUUCUGAAUGUUUUCCUCAACUCUUGCACAUGGUGUAGAUAAGGGAGUAGCUUGGAAUUCUUGGUUGCCCAUUCUUCUCGAACCUGAUGUAUGAGUAGGUACCAAUCUCCGAUUAGUAAUAGUUCGUGAAUGUUCAUGUCAAUUGCCAGAUUGAGCCCUAAGAUGCAGGCUUCGUACUCGGCCAUAUUGUUGGUGCAGGGGAACCUGAGCUUGGCAGACACUAGGUAAUGCUGACCGUUUUUUGAUACCAAAACCGCUCCUAUACCGUCUCCUUUGAAGUUUGCGGCUCCGUCAAAAAAUAACCUCCAAUCAUCAUAGGAUUCUGCAAUAUCUUCUCAUAUGAAAGCUAUCCCUUCAUUAGGAAUAUACGUAUUUAGGGGUUCGUAUUCUCCUCCUACAGGAUUCUCGUGAAUGUGAUCUUCCAAGGCUUGUCCAUUGACCGCCUUCGGGUGACAUAAAUGAUGUCAAAUUCACUUAAUAAAAUUCUACACAGGUUAAAGCACAACAAGUGCACUCUAAUAAGGAAUACCAAGCCUUGUACGGGGUGUAAGCAUGUUAUUUUUGCCGUACAUGAAGACAACUCCUAAAUAUAAAUCAAAAUGAUUUUUAUUGAUUUUUAGGAAUUUUUUAUUUUUUAGUCGCAUUUCAUGCAUUUUAAUAUUUUAAAAUCAAUAAUAACAUACAACAAAUCGCAUUAGAAUUUAGGAUUUAAUUUCAUAUUAUAGGAUUAAUUAAAGGUUAAUUUGUUUUAGAACAAAAUAAGAAGAAAAUAAUAAAAAUAGUACUUUUUGCAUUUUAGUUUAAUUUUGUAUUAGUUUACAUUUUAAUUAGGAAAUCUAAUAUUUAGUGUUAAUUUGCUUUUAGUUUUAAAUUUAGCAUUUAACAAAAUCAGAAAAUAAAAUACAAAAUUAAUAAAAAAAGGAAAUUAAAAGAAAUUGGGAAUAAAAAUUGGAAGAACCUUCCCCAAAACAAAAUAUCCCCCACCCCCCUCCCAAAAAAAAAACACUUCUCCUCAUAUGAGACCUCCGCAAAAUAUAUUUCCACAUACAAAAUACUUCCUCCCAAAAAUUUCCCACAUAAAUCCUUCCCCAAAAUUACUCCCUCACAUAACACCCUACCCUACACACUCUAUAAAACAAAAAGAUACACACAAAAAAAGAGGAGAGGAAAAACUAAUAAAGAGACGGAAGGAAGACCAUCUCACCUCCCACACAGAACACCCAUGAAAUUGCUCAAAAUCUGGCCAAAAGAAGUGAAAUCCACCAAAAAUUGUAGCGAAAAAAGGAGUAUCAGACAGUCCCAAUCAGCUCUAAACUUCGGCGAAAAUCAGUCGAGUACUCGAGUUCCGUCGAAGGAUCCGACGAGUUAGUUUUGUUCGAAGUUCCGAUUUUAAAUGAAGAUCAUAGGUUCUGAUUUCUAGUUCAGUUUUCAGGGAGUUCAUCGAAGCUGUAUUCGUUUAGCAAUAUGGAUUUGGAAGGAUCUAUAUUUGUUUCAAGGGAAGUGUUCAACCGCGAUUUCAGAUAAUUAUUAUGAACCGCAUAAAUACAGGUCAAUUGAUUUAAACGCAUGUUAUUUGCUGUUGAAAAAAUGUUUGCAAAUUUGAAGCUAGUAUGUGAUUGAUUAUUUGUUGAUAAAACUAAUUCCAUAGCUUAGAAUUAAGUGUUUAGAUCCUAGUAUUCUUCUACUGGUUUGGAUUGUUCUACUUCUCCUCUAUAGCAGCAGCAACAAUAUUCUUCUACUGGUUUGGAUUAUUCUACUUCUCCUCUAUAGCAGCAGCAACAAACAACCUCUAUUUAGAGAAGUUGCAAUCAAGCAAGCUCAAAUAGUUUCCUUGUUGUAUUCUCCUAUGGCGAUUGCCGUAUGGCUCUGUCUCUAUUCUCAUCAUGCUUUGUUAAAGAGUGCCACUAGACUUU